UUCUCGACAGUUUCGUGCAUUUCUAAGUACUCAGCGGCACAUCGAGCAGCAAUCACAUUGUGAGCAUUGAGUGUCACGGUCAUACCAUAGCAAAAUUUGGCACAAAUUUCAAAUGCAGCAACACCGCCAGGAAUAUCUGAAAUGCAAAUCUCAUCAGUUGCUUCGUUGUUUGUAGUCAUCAGCAACUUCUGCAUGUAGUAACUCUUGGACAACAGGGGAAACUGCAUGUUCAGUUGGUAAAGAAAAUCCAACCAUUGUAAUUAGAAGUUGGAAGAGCAAAUAAAAGCAAUUAAACCAGAAGAACUACAAAAGCAAACACGAAUGAUUAAGAAUAGUGGGUGAUUUUUUUCUUUCAAAUGAAAUGCUGAUGGCAUCAUUUUACAGUAUUGUAAAUCUCUAAUUAUAUUAAUGGUGUCCUAGACUUGAAGAAAAGCAUAAUUAGCACUAAAGAUAUAAGGCAAGCAAGCAUUCAUUUAUAUUUAUUUAUUUACAAUGAAAAAGUUACUUGAAAUGGGUGACAAGUAAUCCAGCAUUACAUGAAAAUUUAUACCACCCACACUUCUUGAUGAUGACUGGAUCAUUGAUCCUAAUGUUACCAGGUAAUGAUUAUGCUAAACUUGAAAUCUUACUGGGUAUUAUUAUAUAAUAAUUAGUUCAACACCAAAUGCAAACAUCUCAGGAGCAAUGUUGAGUAAUCACGAUGGGUGAUGAUGUCCAACCUCUACUGCUACUCUUUGGAAGAAAGUGUUAGUACCUUAUGCAAAUGGAAUUUGAUAUUGCCCACAUGGAUGAUGAUAUCGGCUGCCAGGUCGGUUGCUACAAACCUGCAAAGAUAAGCAAGUCCUUUUUAUAUCAUGAUAGAAGAUAUUUUGACAUAGGUAACGAAAAGCACAAGUAUAAUCACAUUUUUUUCUCAACGCAUUAGGAGAUACCAUUACAGCAGCUAAGUAAAAUUGGAAAGGGAAUUCAGCAACAGAUUGAACAAACAUCACUUGCAAAAUCAAAAGCUAUCAGAAAAGAAUGUGCUCCGUUAGAUUUUGUAAAUGAAGCAUUAGUCAAUCGUUCUAUUUAGUGCAAGAAACAGUAGUGGAGUAUUAUUUCUACACACAAGCAUCAGCUAAACCUAGUUCAAAGUUCAGAGAAUUCCCUUUGUUCCUGACCAAGUGAGACGCGAGUUCUAAAUUGGAUAAUAGCCUAAGUUGGCGAGCAUUUUCCAUAUGGUUAUAAACAUGAAGCAUAACUGUAUCUCACUUCACGCUCAUGUGUCUAAAUGUAUAUCAAAAUGUUUCGAUCUGUUGACAGUAUGACAUUGUUUAUCCAAAGUCUAACUAGUUUUCCUUCGCCUAUUUAAAUCCAUGUGACACAAAAAAAUGAUGUAAGCAAAGAGAAUGAUAGAGUGAAAUUUGGAUAGGCAUCCACCACCAGAAGAAGAAGAAGAAAAAAAAAAUCUAAAUGAAAAUUUAUAAAAUAAUCCAGGAAACAACAUAUAUAGGAUACUAAUAGGAAACUCAGAAAACAUAGACCAGGGAUGACUAACCAUUAAAUCAUGGGAGAUGAUUGUACAGGGAUCAAACUUGGAAUUUGUUACCAACAGGUAUUAUUACCGAUUAAUGAAAUGUUUAAUCAACUUUAAGGAAAGUUUUAUGUUAGUAAAGGUAAAAUAAGAAGAAGAAGAAGCAACUAUCAACAAAAAAGUUCACACUUAUAAUGUUACUCUUCCAUUAUUGUCCUAUCAUGUGAAGCAUAUUAAUACAAACCAGCCCAACUUAUCUUAUAUAUUCUUAGAUUGGUAUCAUAUCAAUACAAAAUCAUCAAGAUUGGUAAGGUAUCUGGCUCUUCGUAGAGGAAAAUGCAUCAAAAGUUAUGAUACCACCAAGAUAGCUUCUUUAGAACCUUAUUAUGUGAAGCAUGGAAAAGGAAGCAAGACAAACGCAAGGGCGCAAGAGAUCACUAAUAUUGCAUAAAUUUUUGUAUCAUAUAUAAAAGACAUGUGGCUUGAGAACACCAAUACUUUCCGCUAUCUAAUUUGUACAUAGGAGAAAUUGAAUAAAUAUUUGAAAACUAAUAGUAAGUUGUGCAAUAUCAGAUUCACUGACAACAGAUCCCAUAAUAUUUAUGAGGGAUGCCACAUCUGAUUUAAAACAAAGAAGCAUCAACUAUACCAUAUGAAUGAUACAACAAAACAAAAUUGCAGAUGUAUUAUGCUUUGAUGAAAAACUUGGGAGAGACACUAAGAAUAAAUGGCCUUCACAAACAAAAGAUCAAUUUUGUCUUAAUUAGCUGAACAGGAAAUGUUGCAGAAAGCAGACUUACUGAUGCUUGCUGCAAAACCUGAAUGAGAAAAGGCAAAAUAGGCAUUUUUGUGAACCUUUAGUGGUAAUUAUAAAUCAAAUAGCCCUGAUAUGUUAAAAUCCAUUAUUUGUGCUUACCACUAAGAGUUGGGUAAGGCACAUAUUCCUACCUAAAUCUAUCUUAUUACUAAGAUUUUGGUCAAACAAUGGCCAUUAAGAAGUAAUCUAUAUCCACAACCAGUCAGUAGCAAAGGAAAAGGGAAAAAAUGAAUGUUUCCACAUAAUGUUUGAGAAAAUGCAGACAAGGAGGAAAAAAACAAAGUGCAAAAAGCAUAAUGCAGACAAUGUAUAGCACUCUAAAAGAAACAUAAAAAUCCCAUAUCAAUGUAAAAAUAAAAAGAGGUAUCUAAUACCUGAUAUCCUUCCCAUCACUCUUAAAUGAAUCUGGCUUUGAUCCGAGCUUCAUAAACUUCAUCCUGGAACAAAAAGAAUGCACCCUCUCCUCUACACUUCUGCUCAACUGAUGCCACCCUGCAUUCCUUGCAUCUAAGGAACGGCAACUCUUAUAAACAAGUGUGUCAGGUGCUCUCAGAGCAUCAUGCGUGGACCUACUGUAGGAGGAAGAAGACUGAGUAUUCCAGCCCUUGUGAGUCUGCAACAGCAAUAAUUAAAUAAGCAGAGUGUUGCAGAACAGAGCAGAUCAGGAAAGGAUCAAUAAGUUGACACAGCCAUUUCCCUUUCCCUCCCACUUGGUCGAGCAAGCAACCAAGAGAUGCGGUCUAAGGGAGAGGCCUUGCUGUUCCCCAGCUCCAUGGCAGAGCUCACGCAACCUGGCGCAACUUGGUCCGGCAGAGGAGACACCAGCACCCUUCCCUCUAUUUGAUAAUGGUGGUGGUGGCUCUCCGAAGCUUUGCUUGAAAGGUCGUUAAGAUCUGGCGACUGAAGCCAUGUUCCUCGAAUCAAGCUGCUUCAGUCGUUGGGAUCGAAUCACCUGCGACGCCAUGACAGCACCUCUAUGUGAGGAGGAAGUGGAACUAUGAAACCGCAGACAGAGAGAAUCUUUUUCUUCCUUUUUUUUCCCCCAUAAAAAAACAAUGAGGAGUUCAAGGAUGCCAUGACAACUGCUCUGGUGAAGGAAUCUUGCCAAGUUGCAAAAAUCCACAUGAAAAAGCAUAUGGAAUAGUUGCAUUAGAGCCAGGAAGGCAUGUGAUGUUGCAUGCACUUGGUACUAUAAGGCUUGAACGUGGUACUAAAAGCUAGAAAGGUUUGAAUAUAAUAUGCAGCCAGCUUUUGGAGCAAGAAGAACGGAGAAGACCGAGCUGAAUCGCCUGAACUCUCAACGUAAAGAAGACAAAGGAAGAUGAUGUGCAAGCAGUUUAUGUUCUUGGAUAGAUAGACAGCAGUCGCUGAAAAGAAACCACAAGCAAUAGAGAUGGGAACGGGCUCAACAGCCAAAACAGAGAAACUCAGAUCAACAAGAAUGAGCUUGCCAUAACCCACCAUGAAGUGCCAUCAACAUCAAACAAGAACAGCGGCAACAGCGGCAGAGUGAGACAUGGCAGGAGAAGAAGUCAUGGAAAGAAGCAGGUGUACUCAGGCUCUAAGGACGGCACUCUUCCAGCAGGUGGAGGUCCAUCAUGCCCCCUCCCAUGCCCGCACCUUCUGCGCCACUGUCAGUCUUUCUCUCACCCCCACACACCACCGCCCCGAGAACAUAGACACGCAACAGCAGCAGCAAAAGGAGACGAUAUCCUUCGAAUCCAAUGAACAGGACAAGCCAAACAAGUGGCUUCGUCCUCUCUCUCUCUCUCUCUCUUCUCCUUCCCUGCUUUACACGCCAUUUAUUGCACCUCUUCAUUGCUUCAGCUUCCCCUGUCUUUCUAUCAUUGACAUUCUUACCCCUCGCUUGGGUAGAUAUUCUCAGCAGCCUUAAAGUAUAAUAGAUUGGGUUAGAUUGGACUUAACACACCCUUUUCCAACUCAAAGUCAAUGCAAUUUGACUUGGGUUGGAUUCUUCCAUUAACCAAAAUUAGGUUGCUAUUAAAGUUACUGAUAAAUGAAUUGGAUUGAAUGAUGUAGAAAUAGAUAGAUUUAAUUAAAGGUAUAAAUACAAAUAUUCGAACUAAAUACUGUUUUGUGUCAUUGGGGUGUUAAAUAGGCACAGAAUCUAAAAAAUUGGAUCAUGAAUUGAACAUAUGAAUCUAACCUUAGAUCACAAACAUCAGUAUCAUUAACUCAACCCUAUACUGUAGUAGAACACAAACAACUAUUUCCUUUUAUCCUAAACAAUUUGAUGCAUUCCUUUUGUAAACUAAGGCACAAACUUCAAUGCAUUGAACUGGUCUUUGAGACCAGAUUGAGUAGCCAUCGAAGAGCAGCAAGAGAGCCUGACAGCAUGUAAGUUUGAAGUACAAGAGAUUUUGUUCAUCUUUGUCUUUGUUUAGACUUAGACAACAGAUGAUGAGAGAUUUUUGUCUUUGUGUUUAACUUCUGCCCCCAUGAGAGAAAUUGUUUUCUGCAGCAAACAAGUGAAGCAGAGGAGAAUGAACAUUAUACAUAUAGUUUUUACCUCUUCUUCACCUAUCUCUCUCUUCUCUCUUUUCAUUUCCCAAGGCUCAAACCCAAAUUCAUCAAUAUUAUCUAUAUGUUUUUAUUUUUAUUUUUGACAUGAUAUAUAAUUAUAUUUUUAAUUAUUGAAUUGAUAAUCUCAUCAUCUAAUCCAUCAGUUCAGCCAAUGAUCCAAUAUUUAUAUCUGUAGGUGAAAAGAUGGAUAUUGAGGCCUAUAUAUAUAUAUAUAUAUGUUCUAGAUUGGUGAGAUAGAUGGAAUUCAUGUCAUUUGCUUCAAUCAAUCAUCAUACCAGAUAGAAAAGGAUUGCAGUGACAGCAGCAAACCAUUAUCUGCCUUGAGUAUAGGUAAAUCCAUUAAACCAAGGUGUUAAAUCAAGGCAAAACAGAGGACAAAUCUUAGUGGGACAACAGAGCAUGAUCCAAACACAAGAGGAUCUCCCCAGAAGGGCUCUGCAACAGUGCAAGAUCCUGCACAUGGUGUUUUGGAUGCAGUGCUAUUGGCCUCACCUCAGAAGAAGAAUCUGUGGGUCUCUGAAUAAAAUAACAAUUUGAUCUCUUGAAACCCCAUGAUCUAGAACAGGGAUAGAGGGGAGACAAGUUCUUCUUAUUUUAAUGUCUUCUUCCUCUUUUCAGAGCACAAGAUCUGGUGCUUUGUGCAAUCUGAUGUGUUGGUGUUGGCCACAUUGCUGCUGCUGACUCUGGGAGUUUGUGUUGUGGGUGCCAGAGAAGAGGCAAAAGGGAUGAUGAUGCUUCAUGCCCACAAAUCUAGAUGCCUACCAAGACUAGAUGCCAAGAACAUGUUUGAUGGCUAUCUCCUGCAUGAGAACAGUCUUCUAAGCACUAAAGCAGAAUGGGGUAUGUUAAAUUCAGGUCAUAUGAGAUUGUCAUGUAAUAUAUACAUCUAUCAGAAAAGACUAGUUGAUUUUAUUAUCUGAAACAGUAAUGGGGUUGCUUUAUUUGCUGGAUGCAGGUGCACAAAAAAAUAGGCUAUACUGAUGCUUUGGUUCAUAUUUUUUUGGCAAGAAGAUCCUUCAUGAUACAUGGUAAGGAAUUCAAGAUGAGCAGCUUUAGUUGUCAUCAUCAUAUCUACAACCUCUGUAUUGUUGGUAUUCUUCUUUAAUCGACACUAGACGGUGGAUUUAGCUUUAAAUCAGCUCUUACUGUUCUCAGUUAGCUCAACUAACAUCAUCACUUGCCAUUAGCAAUUAAUAUAUGGAAGCUGUCAUUUGUCAGCCUAAGAAAGCAUAAAAUUAUUGGGAGAGUGAGAUCACGGUUUAGUUGAUGUCACGUGCCUCUUUCUUUAAUUGAAAGUGUCUCUUUAAACCUACUUUAAAUUCAUUCUGAUUAACGAAUCCAAAAUUAAAUCUAAAUGGAUUGGAUAGACUCAAAUAUCUAAAAGAAUUCGACCCGCUAUUAUUGUCGUUGGCUUGUUUUUUUUAUGUUUGUUCCAAGAUUGGGCUUAUCGGUCAUUAAAUUCAUGAUUUUUUUUAAAUAUAAAAAAAUGACUACAAAAGUUAGAGGAGAUUGAAGCCUCUAAGACUAAAAAAAUGAGAAGAGUCACUUUGCCUAAUAAAAAUUAUGGUUACAAAAGUUAGAGGAGGAGCAUCAUUACGAGAAGAGUUACUUACCAUAUAAAAAUUAUUACGAGACGUAUCAAAAUGAUUGAAAGUAAUAUAUUCAUCAUAUUAGUAAUUUGUUUAAUAUUAAGGAUAAUAGACUUAAAAUUCAUACUCGUUGAGUAAAUAAAAAAGAUCGAUAAACUUAAAAGCGUACAAGAAAAUCUUAAAACCAUACAUAUUAAAAUGUUUGACGUGUUUAAAGCCUUCCUAAGCUUUGACUAUAAUAAUUCAAUAAGUCAAAAAGGAGUUUUGAUAAAUGCAACUCAUGGCCAGCUCGCUAUUGGGUCUAGAAGAUCACAUACAUAUGAUAUGUGUUGCAACAAGUAGAGAUUCAGAUAUAAGUUAUCCGUUAGAGCUCUUGUUUUAUUGGAUGCCCAAUAAACUCUUAUAUUAUUGGAUUUUAUGGAUGAGAUAUAAUAAGAGCUAAUAAGAGAUUAUCAAAUAGAGAUCUACUAAUCUAAGAGGCUUAGAUAAUUGGAUAGAGAUCCAGUAUCCGAUAGAACAGGAUCUAUUAGGGUUAAAAGGCAAGAACCUCUAUAAAUAGGAUGAUCAAAAGAUAGCAUAGGCUAGUCUCUUCUUGAUCGCCCCUCCUAUUCUUCUCUAUUUUCUCUCUCCCUCGAUCGAUAGCCCUUAUUUGGGGUGCGUGGACAAUAAGAAGGAUCGAUCCAUUCUUGAUCAUGGUGCAGCCUUAUGGUGUGUGUGGAGAGGAAUAUCGUGCCACAAUUUAAGGAGCGUCGUUGCCUUAUCUACUAUAUGAAUUAUUGCUAGAGAAUAUGAUAAUUGACCUCUUUCAUCCUCUUCUAUGGAUCUAAAAUUUUUCAGGAAUAUAUGAUCUUCCUAGAUAACACAUCUCACAUGAUACGCAUAGUUUUUGGUUUUACGAUUUCUCGCGCACUAAUCUUUACAUGAUGACUAGAUAUUUUACUUUGAAAAUUUUAAAAUUUAAAUAUAUGGAUCUUCGCUAUGGACGUGAUGUUUUAUCAAGGUUUCCCAACAAGAGCACUAUGUAGUGUAUCCUUUGUCAUCAUGGAUGGAUGGAUCAAACUUAAUUUCUAAUGCUAGACCCUUUAUAGAUAGACAUAGACAAUUGACUCGAGUCAAAUGGGUUACAUACACGUUCCACUGUCUUACCCUUGAAAGUUGGACCAGGAUUGGAGGAGAGAUUCUAAGCUGGGACCGUGCGUUGGUUCCUUACCCCACCUUCCGAGAACAAGCCAGGGUUAGCAUAGUUGGGAGUUGAUCCUGAAUGCCUUACUAGGCACGCAGACCAACUUUGUUUGAACCAAACCCAUGACCCGAAGAUCGUCCUCACAACUAGCUAUGCUAUAGUGAUAACAUAUGCUCAGGAUGUUCUCGUACACUAUGGUUUGGAAGAAGUGAGAAAUACCCUCAUCGUUCCAAAAGCUCCAAAUAGAAGUUUAGCAAAAUUGAUCAGGACACAAACUUAGUAAAUUUGCCCCUAGAUUCGGAGAGGGUAAUCUCAUCAAUUUUAAUAAUUCUUUGGAUCUUGGAAGUGAUUAUACUGAGGACUUUGGAGUUGAGAAGCUCUAGUGGAAAACCGGGGAGUCAUAUCCACAUUGGAGCAAAAUAACCUCGAUGCCAUGUCCGCAAUCUACACUCCUUAUAGAGUUUCCAGAUCUUUGGAAUGAUAGAUUGAAGAAGCUCCAGAGGAAGGGUAUGGCUCUAGGAACUUACCAUAGAUAGCAAUGUCUCCAAUCCUCCCUAGCACUAGUCACUUAAUGAGGUUUGGAGCUGCUCUCCUAGAUACGAGGCAGGGCCUCCUCACAAUGACUCCACUCCUCCUGUUGCUACUCUAGGAACCCCUGAAAAGGUUAGCCCAGAUCAUUAGAAAUAGUGAGACCGAUGCAGAAGAACCCCGAGGGGGCAAAGAUUAGAGGAAGGCGAGGUUGCUUGCCAUCGAAGGCUUGGGAGCUUUGUCUCAAGGAAUGAGAGGAGGAGAAACUAGGGAGACCUUAGGCAGAGGAGAGCGCAUGUUGUCGGCCAUCAGUAAGGCCAACAGCACAACAAUUGAAAGAGCAUUACAGUGCCCCCGAAUUAUUAUUUGUUAUUGAAAAGACAAUUCUACUCAUGAAUUAAAGCUUAUUCUUUUUGCAACACUAUAUUCUAAGAUCAGUGGUGCAAAAAGAAAUAAAGAAAAACCUAAUAAAUUUUACUAGAAAUAAUCAACGAUAUUAAUUGUUAUUUUUUUUUAUUCAAGAUAUUUUUCGACAGAAAGAUCAAAGGCAAGAAAAGAUGUAACCAAUCUCCAGUUAGGAUAUUACAACUUUCCUAUUGUUCAAAAAGUUGUGCCUGCAUCUAAUCCAUUCACGUUACAUUAAAUUUGGCUGACCCGAGUAAAUUUAUAUCAUUGUAAAUGCAUAGACAAACAGCGCUAAGGAUGGAACCAACAACAAUAUUAUAAGUUCAUUUCGCACAAUACCACAAUAUCAUAGCAAUCAAGACAAAACAAUACAACGAAAUCCAAAAGGAGAGCAUCCAGAAAACCAUCUCCAGAUAGAAGAGCUUACACUUCAAUAGAAAAAGGAAAACAAAUUACAUGAUUCACAAAGAUUAUAAAUUGCAAAGAUGAAUUCAUAAAAAAUGAUUCAAAAGAAAAUUGGUUUUUGAAACAUCACCCGUAGUCAAUACUAAAAGCCUAAAACCACACUCUGCAGCAUUUGAAUGUUUGCUAUGCCUCGCAAAAUUCAUAGAAAGGGAAUGGGCAGUAUCAAAGACAAGUUGGUAUUCUACAUAUAUGACCACCACAUAGACCAGCGUUUGGGAAACUAAGACAUUACCUACUGGGCCUCAUCUUCUGGUAUGUUUUCACCAAGACUGCGCUGUGCCAAUCUGUAGUACAGUAUUCCCAUUGUUGCCAUACAUGCCCUGCUCACAAAACAGAUAUCAUAUAAAUCUCAGUCUUGAAGUUAUCAUUUUCAGAGGAAACCAUUAUUUCAAAAUAUGAUGCCAAAAUCAUAAACGCUAACAGUCGUGGACAAGAAAUCUGUAGCUAAGCACUACAAACAGCCUGUCCAUAUCUAUGAGAGAGCCAGUAAGUUGCAAGUUUUGCUCUCUAUCAAACAUAUAAUGUCAGUUGUUCAUGAGAGUUUUUUUUAGUUGUUCAUGAGUUGAAUAGAGAACAAAUCAUAUUAGAAGAACUAGAAGAGACACAUAUUUAAUUGUCCUCAACUUCUAUGUCAACAAAGUUUCUGUCUUUCCAAACUCCGUACACAUAUAUUAAUUCGGGAGAGAUAUAUAUAUAUAUUCAACUGAUAAGCCUGGUACCUACACGUAAAUCAGAGAACAAAUUAUGCAAAGUCAACUUCAAAUUUUCAUCCAUAGACACCUGUUGAAGCAGUACUACAGGUAAAUCAGAGAACAAAUUAUGCAGGUCAAAUUCAAAUUCAAAUUCAAAUUCUCACUCAUAGACUCCUGUUGAAGCAGUAGUUUUUCAAUUUAAAACGCUUUCCAAGUUUUGUUCAAUAAAAUGGGGAAAAUUUCACAUAUAUCCCUCCAAAGUUAAAUGAUUUUAGUAUUUGCUCCCCUAAAAAUUAAGUUUAGCAUAUAUAUUCCUACAGAAUUCAAAAACUUAUAUAGAUAUCAUUGUAGUUAAUUUCGAUCAGUUUAUCAUUAGCAUAAUGCUAUUCUUGAAAUGUCCAAUGACACUAAAAAAAUUCAAAAAUAUUACCCAUAUUCCUAUAAAUUAUUAAUUUUUGUAUUUAUUUACCCCUUUAACUUUAAGUUUUUGACAAAAUCAUUUAAGGGAAUUUUAGGAAAUUAAAUUUUAAUAUUUCAUAAGCUUAUUGGUGACCAUUGUUAUUAGUGGUUGAUAUGGCAUAAAUGAAUGAUUAAACAUUUCAGGAGAUAUAUAUGCAAUGUCUAAAUAUUUGGAGUAUAUAUUAUAUAUAUAUAUAUAUAUACACACACACACACACAUACAUAAAUAUUUAAAGGGAUAUAUAUGCUAUAUUAAAUUUUGGAUUAUACGAUUUUGAAACUUUGAAAGGUAGAUGUGUAAAAGCCCCAAAAACCAAAAUUGAACUUCAAAUAUAUGGUAAGAGAAGUCAGAGAAAAUACAUGAUUGCCAUGAUAAGUAAAAUUUUCCUCGGGUCCAUUCUUGAAGAUCUUUGAUGUCGUAUUCUUCCUUCUGGAAUGCUAUUUGCAUUAGAUUCUUUGCGUGGUGGUGCAGUCACUGGCAGAGUAGGCAGUGCGUUUGACCAGAAAGGUAGUAACAUUCUUAGAAACUUGUGACCAACUGGACCUGCAAUUAAUAUCAAAAAAACCUAUAUCAUGAGUUUCUUAGCAACCAAAAUGCGUAGAGUUUCUUAGCACUUACAAUUUAUAACAGUGAAAUCUAAAUGAAAGGAUCUGACAUAUAGCUUACCCCGCCGUGUGUACUUUUUGUUUGUUCCAUCUUCAUCGUCAACAUAGUAUGAUGUUUCUGAAAUUUGCCUGUCGACAUGGUAAGUAGGCUUUCUUGUAGUAGCACCAGGCUGUAUGUCAGACACAACACAUCAAAUAUCAUGAUCAUCACUGCACUAAUGGAAUAAGUCAUAGAAUAACUUCAAAUACAAAAUAAGUCACAGCACUUGGACAUAGAGCUUAUUAUUUCUCAAAUAUCACUUAGGCUUACUAGACUCGUGCUUUUCACAAGAUGGUGAUCUUGAUUUUGCAUGAAUUGGUUUCCUAAAGCAUCAGGGCCAUCAACUUCAACAAUCUCUGGUUCUAUAGGCUUAGAGGAACCCACUCCAAUAGUAGAGUUAUAUACUUCAUCUGAGUACUUAUCAUCUGUCACUGGCAAAGAUAAUGUUGGUCUUGAAUCUUCAACAGGAUCAACCGAAGUUGCUCCACCUUUUUCUGUGUCUUCAACGGCAGAUACAUGCACAAGUGGGUCAGAAGCAAAUGCGGGAGGAGGCACACGAUUCUCUACUGCAGGAAGUGAAACUAGGUGAUUUCCAAAUACAUUUUUCUCGAGUCCACUCUGCAAUACAAGACAGAAUGCAAAAUAAAUUCAAGAGCAUGAAGACAAUGAUAUUAUAACUGGAGGAUGUUUGGAGGAAAUAUAAAAGCAUCUAAAAGAGGUCCGGCAACAAUGCAAUUUUAACUCAAAAAAUAAUUUUUGAUUAAUGCGAAAGCAUAAAGAGGAAGAUAUGGUGUUCAAUGAAUGAAGGUUCAGUAAUUGUCCAUCAUCAUCUCUUGGUCAGUGAUGCAUCCCAUAUAAGCUAAAAGAGUACAACUUAAUCAUAGAGAUUAACCCAAGAUAAUUUUUUUAAACAAAUUUUCUGCACAUGAUAAAAACAAUUUCAUGGGCACUUUCUGUAUAUAAGUUUAGGGUUAGUUACAAUAAGUUUAAAAUAUAGAGAUGAUAAGAUGGUCUUAUUUCAGGAGAUGAUUAACUAAAGACUCAGUUGGCUUCUUUAUCAGUCAGUGUCCUAUAGAAGAAAACAAUGUAAUCAGCUAACGAAAAGAGACAGAUGUAACAAAAAUAUACCAAAUAAAGAGGAAUUUAAUUUUGGUUUGUCAGUCUUCUAUCAACUUCCUCUUCUUUUUAUGGUACUUCAUGCUCCUAUCUCUAUGUUCUCUUGGACCAUCCUUCUAACAUUUCAUAGAUUUAAGUCAUAUUUCUUGUUAUACUGAAUCUUCUCUUCUCUACUAAGCUGCAUAUAUGGUAGUCACGAACAUUUGAACUUCACUAGACAGACGCUUUCACCUAUUAUGCCAUCCUGACUGUUUAGCCUACUGAACCUGAAGGCAUAGCUUAUGUGUCUAAUUAAUUGGAAGCUUCUUGUUUAGCCUAUACAUUUGGUAGAUUUAAAUAAGUUCAAGCAGAUGCUUUAGUGGCAUCAUGACAGGCACAGCUUCUUCCUAUAUUUGUAGGCCAAUAACCUUUAAGGUAGUGUGACCCUAGCUUAAUCAGAAAGGAACCGAACAAUUGGAAAUUUUUACGCUGAUUGUGCCUUUUGCAAUUUAAAAGAAGGAUAAGAAUAACAAAACUUGUAUGCAAGAUAAAGUGUCAUAAGCUGACGUAAAAGAGUUAGAAACAAGCAAGAAAGAUGACAAAAAAGCUCUAGAAACAAGCAAGAACAAAGAAGAUUAUAACAUAUAUAAACACUGCUCUUGAAUGAAAUAGAACAGAAAAGUCUUGUGCUGAUUUCUGGGUUAAAAAAAAAGGGCAGAUGCCAGAAGUGACACUAAAAACAAUAGCAUUGUUUACAUAUAGCAGAAAACAAUAUCAUGAUAUAUAGGGGCUUGAACUAGCAUAGUAGUUAAAUGGCAACAUACUUUGUAAGACAAAACAAACUUGAAUACAGAAUAUGAAAUUUUGAAUAGGAUAAUUCAAGAUUAUAAGUAUCCAAAUCUGAGAUUAUCCAGCUAACAAUUGUUCUGCAAAAUCCAAAAAGGCUUAUAGCAAUUGAAGAGAUUGGUAUCUGCUAGUCCAUUGACUUAGCCACGUAUAAAUAUGAUCAACAUAAUUAAGAUCAAUAAUGUAGUUUGAUGUCCCAAAUAGAAACCAACAAAUUCCUCACCUGCUUGAAUGUUCACUAUUUAAUAAAAAGUUUCUAUUAUAAUUAAAAACAAAAUGAACGGUGAAAGCUUGAUAAAGCCACCUACAUAGACAUGUGAAAGUUCACUUUUUGAAGUUAGAAACUUGGGAUUUAGACAUUCAUGGUACAAAAUGAAGAAUAUAGUAAUCAUGAUUUAGGAAAAAUGUGAGAGUUACCUGUAUUAUUGCUUCCUUGAGUUUUGAGUGGAGAAGAGAACUCGUAUCUUUGAUGCUUAUAGGAGGCCAUAUCUGCAAAAAUGUGCUAAUUCAUUGGGAAAUUCAUCACUGCUUUCCAGGACAGAAUUGUAUAUCAUAACAUAGAAAGCAGAGUAAUAUCUAGUUCUAUGACUAAAGCUGAAAGGAACCAAUUCUAUCCUUGUCCCUUCCUUAUGUUUAUCAAAUGAAUAAGCAAAGUCUUCCUAAACUUAUAAGCAUACAGGCCACUAGAAGAUCAUAAGACACUCAAUAUUUUACAAAAAGAAAAAUAAAGAAAUAAAUUCUUGAACUUGUCGAUCCAACCAUUUCAGUUUGACCCAAUCCAUUAAAAAGGUCAGUCCAGUUCCUUGACCCACAAGCAGACUGAAUCAUGUACCGGUCAGUUGUUAUCUACCCUUACUACCUAUCUGAACCUGAAUUAACCUGCUUGAUUCCCAGUUUAAGGUUGACCAGAAAAACUCCUGGCAAAUGGAACUGGUUGACUGUGAAACUAGUUAAGUGAUAAGAGAAGUGAACGGUUUUUUUUAACGAUUUGACUAAUGCCUUGAGUUUGUUCAAAUCUUCAGAUGUGUGACUUGUACAAUUUCCUCAAUAGACUACUAAAGAUGUUCACACAACCCACUGUCAAGCAACUCAAGAGUUUCCUGUGUUUUCAACCUAAAUUCAGGCCAACAAAUUCCUUUCUAAAGUAGCAUUUCCUCUAGAUAAUUUUAAUUAUUUUAAUUUUUUACAAAAUUUUUUAUACCUUUUUCUUUCUUUUCAUGUCAAGACUAUUAAAAUUUAAUCUGAAAUUGCAAAAACCAUGUAAUUGAUUAAGACAUUGCUAGGACAAUUGCAUAGAUGAACAGAUCAAAAAUAUAUAAUUAUUUAACUUUUGUCAUUUAAGAAAAACAAAACAGUCUCUUAAUCCAUCACUUGCAAACUGAAGUCUGUUCUGCAACCAACAAAAUGUAACAAUUCAAAAUUUUGCUACAAUAACUUACAGGGGAAGAACAUGCAGGACACAAGUAUCCUGCAGGUGGAGUUUGAGGUGAGAAACUUUUAAUAUGUGAGACCAAGCAAUGUGUGUGCAUAAGAUCUGAAUGAGACAAACACAGAGAAGUUAAUAUAUUGUGAAUUGAGGUAACUUGUUCUUUUUAGAAAAAGUACACAUGUAAAAGUGAGAAGCAACAUACGCAAGCAACCCAAUCGAGUAGUUUGAUCGGUUCCAGCUUCCAAUGCAGCAUUGCACAAAGAGCAUAUAGGGGGCCAGUUAUACUCCCCAUCAACUACCCAAUCAGAAUAUUUUUUUACCUAAAGAUUAAGAAAGAAUCAGUGAUUUUAUAAAAUUGGUAGGAAACAGUAAAAUGUGUAAGUAAUAGAACAAUAAAAUUGGUUAGAUAGCAUUUUAUAAAAAAAUUAAAGAACAAAAAAAUAAAGAAUCUACAGUUAGUAUGAAAUUUUAUGAGAUUAGAGGCUCAAGAAAAAAACACAUUGGUAAAUGAAUAAUGUGAGCGCAACAUCAUUUUCAUCCAAUAGCUAUUGGAUAAUAAAAAUAUUUCAUAUCAAAAUAUCAAUGACUAAAAUUCAACAAAUAUAGGUAUUCAGAUAUAUAGCUUUCCUUUGGAGCAUACUUUGUCGAUGAAAGUGAAAAAUCAAAAGGACUGGUUCCUCUAAGUAGUGACUAGCUACCAAAAGAAGCAAAAGGUCCAAUUGAGAAAUUUGUUGCAAGUCCAAAGGCUUCAAGUUUAGAACAAACUGAAAUUCCCAGUUGCUCCUGAUCCCCAAUUGUUUAUAGCAAUUAUAUGCUCUAAUUUAUGAAGAAUUUCCAGAAGAAGUUCAAACAAGAUCCAAUAUUUGGAACCUUGCAUGAAGUCUUUUAGACACAGAAAAACAUUUAAGAACAGUAAUGCCAUGGGCAUAUUUGAUGCGAACAGUUGUUUCAGUCUUCACAUCGAGCACUUGAUAAGCAUAAAUUUUGCGAAGAAGGUGAUUGCAGCCAUGGGUUUAAAUAUCAACACUGGUACCCAUAUUGGAACCUUAUUGGAUCAAGUCCAGUUGAGAAAUGGCACGGUAAGCCUUAGUGUACUGUUCAGAAUACAAAAAAUCAUUUAUAUAUUAUUACUAAUCAAUAUAGUUGUUGUUCCAAUGUACAGAUGUGGUAUUGUUAGUAUUUCAUGGUAUUGUUGCUAGAUCUUUUUUACCCUUUUUCUAACACUUUUGGAAUGAAAGUAUUAUAUUUACUUUAUUAGUUUACGUUUUUAUUGCUAUUGUUGUCAUGCUUGUUUUGCUUAUUGCUCUCCACUUCCUUUAUCACCAUACAUACCGUAGUUUUUUAUGUAGUGUAACCACCAAGGAUAUUUGCCCGGAAGAAUAAUCUGUGCUCCAGUGCUAAAUUGUUAAAUCCUCAAUGCAACAUCUCUAAAAAAAUUACAUGUGUGAAGAAUUUAGUAUGUAAUGCUGCCAUCAAAAGUCCUUGUGGAACAUGACUUAUGCUAACCAAGCUAUCAAAUGCAAGAUAGAUAUCAAGGUUAACAGUUAAUACUACACUAAAUAAUCUUAUUAAAAUGUCCAGAUGCGACUAAUGACAUUCUUGUUUACACCCCUAGUUGCAGUCAGUAAGGUAGCACCAUAUCGUUUGUACUUCAAAUGUCCAGGCAGGAGAAAAUAAGUCUCUACUCGUAGUACAACAGAUUUAGAUGAUUACCACGCAGAUUUGAUGUUCUGGGAAACAAAUGCAUUGACCGCAAACAGGAAGCUUGUGGACGAAACAAUAAAGCCUGGUUGCCUGUAAAUUUAAUGCUCCAUUAGUUUCAAGAAAACCACACGACCGAGAAUCAAAACCGCUUCUAAGAAUAUAAAGUAAAACAAAUUAAUCCUGCUUCGAUUAUUGAGCGUGAAAACGUUUUUUAACCUUCGAAAACAAAUGGGACUUCACCUACUGAAAGAAACUCAAGAAUCAAGAGAAGCAAAUCCGUCGAAAUCCUGAUUUUGCACAACCUCUUCUCUUACUCAAUAUAAAACUACCUGAAUUUAAGCUAAAGUUUACGCCCCGCCAAAUCGAUGAUGACGAAAAUUUCCGAUGAUAAUGAAAACCUAGUGGAAUCGAAUAAAUGCCUAAUAGAUCCAAUGCUAGUACGUACGAAUUCGACCAGAAAGCCGCUGUUAUAUCUCGAAAUUCCGAAAGACUAAUUAAAUUCUCAAAGCAACUGGCAUCCGAGUUCCAAAAUUCGAUUCGAAACGAAUCGAGGAACCGAAAAAUGACGAUAUGAAACGCAUAGUACAAUACCGUGGCGCUCAGCGAGGGCAACAAGAAAAUAAACGGAAUUGAAUCCGGGUACCUUGCGGCACUUGCAGACAACCAUCGCAUCGAUCGAAGAUCCCGCGAGGAGCGGCGUGAACGGGGAGCUCAAUGGAUCAGAGGAGGCCUUGGAUUUUAGAUUGGAUCAAAAGGGUCGCGCGAGGCGAACAGAUCGGGGAGAAGGACAGUUUAAGAGACGCCCGAGCGGAUGCGAAACGAGACGGGUGCGUCCGCGUCCGAGUCACGGUGGAGCGGUAACAAACAAAGAGGCGGUGUGUUUUGAUCUCAAAGGACGUGAUACGUGAAGCAAUAUUAGCAGUCAUCGACGCGUUCAUUUCAGAUCGUAGGGCCGUGAUGUCUAGUGCCUUCGUUAUUGCUCCGUGAUGAUAGUCUUGACCGGUUCGAUUCGAAUCGGAAUCGUAUCGAAAUCGAAUUGACUCGACGGUUCUUUGGUUCCAAAUUAAAUAGAUAAAACGAUUUAAUUAUAUUUAUUAAUUUUGAGAAUCGAAACCAUCCGUUAUAGUUAGAAUAAUUGAUUUUUUAUUUUUUUUUUAAAAUUAAAAAUAAUUAAAAAAUCACAAUGCUAAGGUAUUAUGAUUUUAGCAAUCGAUUCCGAUCCUAAAUGAUUUGGUGCCAAUUCUCAAAAAUUUAGGAACUCAAUUCCAAAACUGAAAUCAUGGGAUCCGAAAUCAUGUCAAAGUCUACAUGAAGAACGGAGAGGAUUCAAAUGGAUUAAUCAUGAAUUCUACUAUGAAUUCAUUAUGUACAUUUAUACAUCCGGAUAAUAAGACAAAAAAACCCUCAGCCCCUAUUGAAAUGACACCGACCGCGCUGGUUUUGAAUUCGCUGCCCGCAAACUCUGAUUGCUAAUCGCUCCGUCCAUUUUCAUUCGCCCCUUUUCUCCUUUCGCCAUCAGAUCGCGGUUUGCUUCCGCCGCUCGUCAAACCCCUGACCCUCCCUCCGAUUUCCGGCCGCUAUGAGCGCCGCCACUCUUCCGGCCACCGGCGGGAGGGAGCUCUCCGACCCACCCUCCGAUGGCAUCUCCAACCUCCGCUUCUCCAACCACAGCGACCUCCUCCUCGUCUCGUCGUGGGACAGGGUAUGUCCCUAAACCUUUCCUGCAAUCCCCAUUCUCCCGCCCCGACGAAACCCUGACUUCAUCUCCCUAGGGUUUGGUCUUUUAUCUCUUUGGUCACCCGCAGUAGGGCUUACUGAUACCCUUGUGCUCAGAGUCUUCGUCUUUACGAUGCCGGCGCGGACGCUCUCAAGGGGGAGUUCGCGCAUGUUGGCCCUGUCCUCGAUUGCUGCUUCCAUGACGAUUCAUCGGGCUUUAGUGCCUGUGCCGACCAUAUGGUCAGAAGGUGUGCAAGGAAUGUUCUCCGGGUGCAUUAUGUUUCUCUUGCUGCUUUUGUGGUAGUUAGCUACUCUGAUGCUUGUGUAUGUUGCUCUUUCUGUUUAUAGACAAUUUCAGGAAUGACCAAGCACUCGUUUUAUGUUUCGUUAUGGCGUUUUUCUAGUAGCCCGGUGGAAUAUUAAUAAGGUCGGCACUAGUGGUUUUAGGGUUUCAGAUGCUGGUGGUUCGCUAAUCUGGAGCGUUAGGGUGCUGGAUUACUGCCAAGUGCUCUUUGUCUAUAUGGCAGUCAAAAUGUGGUUCUAUGCUCGAGCAUCAUGGUUACUUUGAAGUAGAUCGAGUUAUAUGAUUGGUUACAAGGCUAAUCAAGUUCUUUUUCUAAAGGGGCUUUUCUAUUUUCAUUUUGAGCCUUGGCACCAUGAUAAUGCUGCUCCUUCACAACUUUGGUGGCCAGAAUUAGAUCCACGGAGAACAACCUUUUUGUUUGUAGGAAUGAGGUUGCAUUCUUUGACCCCCCCAUAAACUCAUGUUGGCGGGAGUCUCAUGCACUUGACCACUUUUUAUUCUACUUGUCUCUGAGCAUUUCAUAACAAAAUUUAUUAAUCGUAUGAUUCCCCAAUUCUUGAUAAAAACAUGCUAUUCUGGAGUUCUGCAAGGAGACAUACUAUCUAUUAGUUCCGAAAUCUCAUAUGGGAAGUACACACUUUACAUUGCUAAAUUAUAGAUAGUUGGCCUAAGAAUUAUUGUCACUUCAAAAUCAUGUUUGCUGAAUUUUCUUCUUAGAAAAAAAAUUAAUGUUUUUUCGGUUAACAUUAGCAAUUUGCAAUCCUAUGCACUUGUUGUAAAUGCGACCUAAUAUUAACGACUGUCUUCAUUUUAGUUCUCAGCUUGUCUUAUUAGUUGAAAUUGCUUAUUUGAGGAUCCUCAUGGUCCUUUAUAUGUCAUGCAUAGAAUAUUUCAAAAUUCUUUGGUGACUUCAUAUGUUGGAAACCUACCUUUGUGCGGAGAGGCUAAUCUGAGCUGAGUUGCAGUAUGAAUGUCUUACUGUAUAUUACUCUAUUAGCUACAGUGAUUUCAAUAGGCGCUCGGGCGAGGCGAGGCGAGGCCCGAGUGCCUCGCUUCAUGUCCAGGCGCCUCCUCGCGAGGCCCGAGUGCCUCGCUUCAUGUCCAGGCGCCUCGCUUCAAAGAGGCGCCGCCUGGGCGCUCUCCCGAGCCCAGCCGUCGGGCGCUUCGGGCGAGCGCCUGGGUUAAACCAGGCGACCGAACUAGAUUUUUAGGUCUGGUUGGUCUCCGAUGCUUUAGUUGGUUCAAUUGAACCAACUAAAUCACCGAUAUCAGGCACCCUCUCGUGAUUUCCCCGACUUCCCCAACCCUAACACGUGAUUUUUCCACCGAGAUUUCUUCUCCGCUAUUGUUGCUCUCUGCUGCCACUGCCACUGUCGUUCCUCGCCGCUACUGUUGCUACUCGCUGCUGCCACAAUCGCUGCUCACCGCUACCACAAUCGCAGCUUGUCGCUACCACAAUCGCUGCUGUCGUUGCUCGCCGUUGCUGUCGCCGCUCCCGCUAUCGCUUGUCGCUCCCGCUAUCGCUUGUAGCUCCCACUCCCGCUGUCACUUGCCACUCCCGCCGUUGCCGCUCCCGCUCCUGCUCCUGCUACGACUGUUGCCUGGUAUCAUUGUCGUUGCCUCAGCAGCCUCGGUCUUCUCACACUCUUCUCACUAUAUUGUUAACAAUAUAUUAACAGUAUACUGCUAACUGUAUACUAAUAAUAGUAUUUUUAUUUAUUAGAUUAAUAAUAUAUUAUUUUGAUUUUAAUACUAUUAAUUUUUAUUUAUUUAAUAGUAUAUUUUUUAUUUAAAAAAUAAAAAGUAUACUAUUAUGAUUUAUUUAUUUAUUUAUUGUGAUUUUAUACCCAAUUUUUUUAAUUUAAUAGCAUAAUUUUAUUUAAAUAAUUAUAUUUAUUAAUUAUAUUAUAUAUUUUUAUAUUUUAGCGCCUCGCUUCGCUCGGGCGAGCGUCUGGGCGAGUGCCUAGCGCCUCGGGCGUUUUUGGACCUUGGCGCCUAGCGCUUUUUAAAUCACUGAUUAGCUAUAUGGUUUUAAUCUUCUUUUUUCAUCUAAACAUAGCAGAAGAUGAUGCAUUGUGUCAUUUUAUUAUUGAAGUGUGCAAACAUGUGAGUAUGAACCAUAUUUUUUCUUUCAUUAAGAUUUUUGCUUAAUUGGUGUUGUAUUGUCAAGUUUGUUACUGGUCCUAUAAUAAAACCUUAUAUCCUUCAUCCAUCUAUCAUGUGCAUCAUUUUGAUGAAUUUAUUUUUAUAGGGUAUGUUCGACACUCAACAGAUUUUCUGAUUUUAGUGUUGGGAGACAUUUACUUUCUUAAAACAAUUAUUUUUAUAUCAAUUUUUUGAGUGAGAAUUUGCCUAUUCAAGCUAGAAAACUGCGUCUUGGGUUUUCUUCUCAACGUUGAACUGUUGUAAACAAAGGGAUGCUGUGAUGGCAAUUGUGGCGUAUUAUGGUAGUGGUAGCGGUUGUAAUGGUGACAAUGAUGUCACCUAUUAUGACAAUGGUGAUCGUACAGUGGUAUUGGCGUUGGUGGGGCAAUGAUGAUGGUGAUGCUGAUAAGAAUGGUUGAGUGAUGGUGAUGAUGGUGACAUGAUGCAGGUAGGCAUAAUGGGGUUGGCAGUCAUGGUGAUAGUUGCACUCAUGGUUUAAUAUUGAUACAUAAUAAUCGGCAUUUUCUGAUAUGGCCAAUAAUUGGUAAUGGACCAAUUAACUUGAUGCUAUUUGGUGUAUAACUUUUUAAAUAUUUUUCUAUUGAUUUUGAGUAGUUCUGUUUGGUAAAUUGCAUUAGCAGUCUUUUAAAACCAAAACUAACAACCUGAUGCAUUUUAGUGAAGAAAAAGAGACGGUUCGAACUUGGAAGAGCUUUCUCUAUGACAGUCGAAAAUCUUCUUUUUAAGUUUAUAUAUAUAAAGGCUAAUGGGAAGAGUACUGUCGGUUUACCAAAAAUCUUUAUGCAUUAUGUUUUCUUUCAAUUCUUAUUCUUCUUGGUUUAAGAUCAAGAAUGAUAGUUGACGAUGCCGCUUACAUUUUCUUCCAUAGUAUUAAAACAUGCUACUGGAGAUAAGGCGGUUAGAGCUGAAGCAUUUUCCAAAAUGUUGUUUGGAAUGCUUCUCCAACUUUGAUAUGCUUGAAAGGUCUUUUUUUCUCUGUUUGGUUGUGAAUAAUUUCUUUGGUCGAAUGAUUAAUCCUGGACUGGUUCAACUUUGCCUAAUCUGUUAUGUCAUUAAAAAUAUUCAAACAUUAUAGUUUUAGAAGAUGCAGUCGUUGUACAUUUGUAUAUUCUUUCUUUAUGAUGGACUUGCUGAGAAACUUUGAGGAGUUUGGGAAUGCCUAAUCUUUUAUGUAGUCAAUAGUGAUUAUCUUGCACAUUUAGUGACAGACAGAUGCUACUUUAACUGGGUUAAUUGUGUUUUAUUAACUUGUUUCAGGUUUGUCUUUGGUUCUGGCAAGGAGGAUAUUUUAGGACGCCAUGAUGCUCCUGUCCGUUGUGUUGAAUACUCUUAUGCAACAGGUACAAUCAAUGCUCUAACUUCUAGCAAUUAGCUAUUUCAUUCUUGAUUUGGGACUUUGAGGACUGAAAAGGCAGAUCAUCACUAUUUCAUGUUAUUAUGUUCCUAUCGAGGUUCCACGCAUGAAAAGAUGACUGAUAGGUUAGGUUGGUAAUGAAGAUGUUAAGACAUAUCAUGUUAUCUGUCAUAUUCAAAAUUCUAGCACACUUAAUUUGAGUGGUGGAAUGUUUUGGAUGCCUAUGACUAGAUCCUAUUAUGUGGUUCUAAAAAAGUUGUUCUUUUUAGUAGCUUUAAAGAAUUGAAGCGCCAUAUUAAUAGAUGAUAUUGAUGAUAUUUUGUACUCAUACAUUCUUCUAAUGGGAUGAUUCAGAUUGACUAUGCUCAUCCUUUGAUUUAAAGAGAGAGAAAAAAAAGGAAAAGAUGCACAAUCAUUUACAUGAUUUUCCCUGAAGGAUACUUUGGCACAUUAUUUUCCAAGGUUAGGUUGGUAACGAGGAUGUUAAUACAUAUCAUGUUAUCUGUCAUAUUCAAAAUUCUAGCGCACUUAAUUCGAGUGGUGGAAUGUUUUGGAUGCCUAUGACUACAUCCUAUUUGAUGGUUCUAAAAAAGUUGUUCUUUUUAGUAGCUUUAAAGAAUUGAAGCGCCAUAUUAAUAGAUGAUAUUGAUGAUAUUUUGUACUCAUACAUUCUUCUAACGGGAUGAUUUAGAUUGACUAUGCUCAUCCUUUGAUUUAAAGAGAGAGAAAAAAAAGAGGAAAAGAUGCACAAUCAUUUACAUGAUUUGCCCUGAAGGAUACUUUGGCACAUUAUUUUCCAAGGAACAUAAUCAUUAAUCACUUAUUUUGUGUCGUACUCUUGGAUUAGUCAGUAUUUGCUUCUCUUUAAAUUUAGAAAUCAUUGAAUACUUUUCAUAGUGGCCAGGCUGCAUUGUCUAAUUGAUCAUCUAGUACAUUGUUUUGAAUUUGUAUUUCCUCUUGCCUAGUACUCAGCAGAAGAGUUAAAGAAGGUAAAAAUGGAUACUAUUACUUUACUAAUUGAUUGCUGGAAAAUAUAUAUGAAUAUAAAUGGAUGAUUAGUUUUGUGAUAAAAUUUGCUCAAGUAUAACUGGUUCUUCCAUGAACGUAAUUUAGGAUGAGAUAUUAACCAUUGCAUGAAUUGGUUAUGUCAUUUGGAUGCAUUAACUACUAUUUUUCAGAAAUGGCUACAAUUCUUUUUCAUAUUUUUUAUGAUGCAAAUUUAGAGGGUAGAUGCUGAUUAAACUACUUUCAGUUAUAAUUGUAUGCUCUUGCGCAAAGGUCAUCAUGGUACUUAUUGAUGUUUACUGAUUUACUCAAACUUCAUUAGAGUUGCACAUCCAUUAUGCAUUAUCUUUAAUAAAUAAUAUGAAAUAGCUGGAGGGAAAUUAAAUUUUAGAAUUAUGUUAUAUUGCAUUUUGGUGGAAAAUGUCAAAAGUCAAUCUAACAGAUAAAAGGGAUAUAAAAGAAAACAAGAAUAAUUACUCUAAGAUUUAGCUUUGUCUUCUUUUGUUUUUUUUGCCUUUCAGUUGCUUCUUAGUUUGUCUCUGAUCACAUCUUUUUUCCUAAAUGAGAGGCAUGUUCAUUGAUUAUAAUAAGAUCUAAUCACAAUGGCAUCAGAAAUAUAGCAAAAGCACAUAUCUAAACAAUAGUUGAUAUUAGUGAUAAUCAAAAUUCAAAAUAUCUUAAAUUACAAGCUGAAGUUAAUGAGCAUGGGUUAAUAUCAAUUUUAGUGCAAAUUGUGGGUUCUUAUUGUUGAGUCUUUUUCACUGUCAGUCUGAAGCCUGGGAAAAGGAGAGUUGCUUUAUGUAGCUGACAGUCAGCUUAAAACUUUGGGCUAGUUGUAACUUUGGUAGAAGAUAAGAUGUGGGAAAAUCUUUUAAGAUGCUGAACAUAUCCAAAAGAGACCCAUAUGUACUCUGCUAGACGAGAUAACUUGAUUAAGAGGAGGGAGAUUGAAAAGAGCUUAAUUAGAAACUAUGAAGAGAUAUGAUUAUUUGUAAUUUGACCAACUGGUUUGAUUAUGGCUUAAAGGGAAGGGGGGAGGAAUAUUCAUGUAGCUAAUCCUAAAAAAUUAGAACAUUGUGGCUUACCAUUGUUGUUCUUCUGCGAGUUGGCAUUACAAAAAUGUUUAAUAAGAUAAUACUAAACAAAUGCAAGGAUUAUAAUUUGGGGAGGCUGAGUUAAGGUACAGUCAGUUUAAGGCAAUGUGAGAUAUCUACAUCUCAAUCCAAGUGUGACUAAACCUGACUAAAGUCACAAGACUCACAACAGCCAAAAUGGUCAGGUCUGGUUGGGUUAGAUCACCAGCUUUCGAUGAAAUCUGAUUCUCUGGUCCUACACAAGACUAAAAGGUAGGAAAGACUGAAUUCUGGACAUGUCAGCUUGGUUGGUUUAGCAAACCUGUGUACUGACUUCUCAUGGGAGACGUGGUGAUGUCUUAUGUAUAAUUUCAUUUGAAUGGAAAUUUGUGUCAUCUAUACCUCAAUCCUAGUUAUUAUGUCCUUAAAUUUAUGAUGCAUCUUGAUUGUUUAUUUGUUUGUAUCAUCUAAGGCCAAGUAAUUACUGGAAGUUGGGACAAGACACUGAAAUGCUGGGAUCCUAGAGGUGCAAGCGGCCCAGACCAUGCACUUGUUGGGACAUAUCCACAACCUGAACGAGUGUAUUCUCUUUCCUUAGUUGGUCAUCGUUUAGUAGUUGCUACUGCAGGAAGGCAUGUGAAUGUCUAUGAUUUGCGCAAUAUGUCUCAACCAGAACAACGAAGGGAAUCAUCAUUAAAAUAUCAAACUAGAUGUGUUCGUUGCUAUCCCAAUGGCACAGGUGAAGCUUUUAUGUACUAAUAAUUUAUUUUUUCAGCUAUCUUCAUAAAUUUGUAUCUUACAUGUUAUUAAUUAGUAGUUGAUGUAUACGUAUGUGAAACUGCUAUAUUUUUGUGGCAUUGUUGUCAGGGCUUAUAGCGUCUAAAGCAUCUUACGAAUGUGCACCUAGGGGGCUUCAGUUACUUUUGUGGCAUAUAUUUAAUGUUAUUUAGUCUCUCUGCCAACAAAAUUUUGGAGGUGGAUCGAUUUGGUGGAUCACUGGUCAUUGCAGACUUUAAACAUUUCCCGGAUUAAGCAAUGUGAUAUAUGAACAAGGGAUAUUUGCUGAACCUCUAACAUUUCUAGAAACACAUUGCUCAACAUUUCUUGAAAUCAUUAAAUUGAUUCUUCUCCAAUGCAUUUCCAUUUUAAGGUGGUUUCAAAGAUUGAUGGGACCAGUGUGCAUCGGCUGGUAUUUACUGAUAUGGUGAAGGAUCGGUAUUUGACCAUGUAGCUUGAUACUAGUCAGCAUUCAUCUUUUUAACAUUUUUAUUGAUACCAGGUGGUAUCCAGUUUGACAUGGUGUUGAAACUGGUUUCAGCCUGAUAUUCUAAACCUUGGUUAAAUUGUCUUGUCUAAUUGCAAAAUAAAUAUGAACAACUGGUCCUUGCAGACUUUAAACAUUUCCCAGAUUAAGCAAUGUGAUAUAUGAACGAGGGAUAUUUGCUGAACCUUAACAUUUCUAGAAACACAUUGCUCAACCUUUCUUGAAAUCAUUAAAUUGAUUCUUCUCCAAUGCAUUUUCAAUUUAAAGUGGUUUCAAAGAUUGAUGGGAGUAGUGUGGUUUCAGCCUGAUAUUCUAAACCUUGGUUAAAUUGUCUUUUCUAAUUGCAAAAUAAAUAUGAAUAACAACCUUCUGGGAAUUUAAUAUUGCACUGAAGUUACAAUUUGUUCUCACAUCCAAUAUAAAAAAUUUGGGCUUCCAUUUUUGGUAACCUGACUAUGUGCAGCAGCCUGUUGGCUUUCUAUCUGCACUUAAAACUUGUUUAAUGUUCUUGCUUCUUAGAAGUUUGUUGGCAUUACUGUGCAUAAUAUUGCAAUUAUUUCAGUGUAUAUGUUUCUUUCUAAUUCGUCCCUUUGGUCAUAACUGUAAAAUGGCCAUUGUCUCAUCAUCAUCUCUCUGUUGAUUAGUAUCAUUAUGAACUUUUGUCAUCAUGCUAUUAUUAUAUCAAUAUGAAAACAUACAUUCUAGAUUAGUUACUGCCAAGUAGUGUCAUUGGUUGAGUGAUUCUUUCCUUUUCCUUUUUUGGUUGCUUUUUAGUGUUACUGAAGUAUGGACCUGUACUUAUAAUAUAAACUCAGAACAUUUCUUCCACAUUUUGAAUGUGAUUUUGGAAGAGUUCAUCCUUAAACAUGAGGCACAAUCUUGGGAUGUUAUCUUUUACCUUUCAUCUUUUACAUUAUUCAGGUUGCAACUUGGGAGUAUAUUAAAUCUGUAUUGAUUCUUUCGUAAGGGAUUUUCCACUGUUUGUUUUCACAAAUGUACCACAUCCUGAAUAUUCAGAAGCUUCCAUAUUGGAGUCAUUUCCUGGCGUUGAGUAGUGUGUUGCACAUGAGAAUCACAACUAGUAUCAAGUGAUUUAAAAAGAUAAUAACACCAAUAUCUAAUUCACACAUGUUCUUAUUAAAAGGAAAACUCAAUAAAUUUUACACUUAUGGGAAAAGGAUGUAUUAUUAUGAUGUUAUUAUUUAUAACAAAGGAAAAACUUAUUCCAGCAAUUUUCUCAAAAGUUCACAAUUUUGCUGUCAAGAAACUAGACCUAGGAUUUGGGAUUAACAUAGUGUUAAGUAACUGUUUCCUCAUUAAUUUAUUAUAUUUAUGCUUUCUUUUCAAGUGGCAAGGAGAUUGUCAUAUUAUCUAAGAAUGAAAUCGUACUAUGGUUAAAGGAUCUCUUGGUUAGUUAUACCAUAUUUCUAUGAUCUGUCUAAUUGACCAGAAAUUAUGGUAGAAAUUGUACUGUUUUUACAUCUUUGGUUUGUUAUUAUCGAGGAAUAUUGUGUAAAAUUCUUGCUAUUUGAUGCAGGUUUUGCUCUUAGUUCUGUCGAAGGUCGAGUAGCUAUGGAGUUUUUCGAUCUAUCAGAGGCUGCUCAAGCGAAGAAGUAAGAUAUUCUUGUGUUCAUAAACAACCCUUAUUCUGUCCGUUUGCAACAUGUUUUUACUAUAUGAGAGGACUUUAGAGGGAAUAAAAAAAUUUACCAUUUUAGUUAAGAUUUUUGUUCAUUUUGUGCUUGGUAGCAUGAAUCUUCCAGAUUGGGUACCCAUUACCUGGGUAUUCAUGGAAAUGUAUGCAUGCACCUACUUUCCUUUCUAUAAGCUUGUGGCUUUCUUCUUUAUGAGUAAUUUCCUCCUGCUGUUGCACCUCAAGCUUCUCUAGAUUCUCUAUCAUGUUAAACAUAUUUCUUUUUCAUAUAGGCAGCACAAGCCUUGAAUCUAACACUGCUGCAGUCAACUACCACAAAUAUUAAAUACUGGAAGCCUUUAUUUAUCCUUGCAGUAGAUCGAUUUAUGUUUUCUGGUUCUAAUGGUAACAUUUCAUGUUGCAAUAAAAAAAUCUACGAGCUCAUGGACUAAUACAUUUUUGGUGUUCAUGAUGACUAGUUUUAGGAUAUUGCUCCUGUGACAUAAUGUUGAUGCUUUAUCAUUUUUAUUUGUGAUAAGUCCUCUGUUUCACUAGACAAUGUUACUUCAGGUAUGCAUUCAAGUGCCACCGUAAAUCGGAGGCUGGGAGGGACACUGUUUAUCCUGUCAAUGCAAUUGCGUUCCAUCCAAUGUAAUCUCUCUACACUGAUUUAAAUGACAAGAGUUGUACAAUUAUAUUGUCAUUUAUAUUUUAUGAUUUGUAUUGGUCAUCAGCUAUGGGACAUUUGCUACUGGAGGUUGUGAUGGUUACGUUAAUGUUUGGGAUGGCAACAAUAAGAAAAGACUUUAUCAGGUAAAAUCUUUUAUUAAAUGGUGAAUGUUUAUGUUGGUGUUCAGAAACUAACAAGGUCCAUAUGUUGUAUUGUUCUGUAGUAUUCAAAAUACCCGACAAGCAUUGCUGCAUUAUCCUUCAGCAGAGAUGGCCGUCAGCUUGCUGUGGCAUCUAGCUACACAUUUGAGGAGGGUGACACACUGUAAGUUAAUAAGAUCUAUUUUAUCACCUUGGCAGUAUGGGAUCUUUUUGAUGUUUUAAUGCCAUUGUGGAAAAAUUAAAAUUGCAGUCAUGAGCCUGAUACCAUCUUUGUCCGGAAUGUAAAUGAAGUAGAAGUCAAGCCAAAGCCCAAGGCUUUACCUGCACCACCUCCAUAACUAUAGUUCUUGCAGCAAGGAAAUUGCACCUUGAAUGGAUAUUUGGAGUGAUGGUUCUGCCUGCGUCAGCUGCUGUCCUUUGAAUGGUUACUAAGCUACUAUGAAUACGAAAAAUCUUGUAAGGAAACCAAAACUUGUGAUUUCUUUCUUUUCUUUUCUUUUCUUUUUUUCUUCAGGCAGUGUUCGAGAGACCAUUUUCCUUGAUCAUCUUGUUGUAGCUAUCUGGAUAAUGAUUGUCAUUAUGUUGCUGGUUUUGAUCCAAUGUUUCACCGUCAAUGAAGUAUGGUCUUCAUUGCUGUUGUUGUUAAGUAGAUCUCCAAUGAUUUUGUACCUGGGUUGUGGGGGUUGGAUCUUAAAUGAUUUUAUUUUUUCGAGGCAUUUUUGGAAGAAGAGUUGUAUUCAACACUUUUAUGUGAUCUUGGUUCUCCUUAAUAAAUUGUUCUAGAGAAAAAUUAGUCAAUGAAAUAUCAUAUUGACUCAUUGGAAAAAAAAAAGUUCCUUCUCGAGGAUAAAUCCGCGAUAUAUAUUGGUGGGAGUCUCAACCUAAUGUGUUAGACAUUAUUUUCUUAGAUGUAACUAUAUUGGUUACAGUAAUAUCCAUGUACAACUACAAUAAUAAUAAAUAUUUUUGUCAUUUUUCGUGACAGGUAUUAUGUUGUUAUCCAAUUUUAAUUUAGAUAACAACAUUUUUACGUGCACAAUAAAAUAAAUAAUCUUUUUCUCGUACGAUUAAUUGGACCAUUAUAAUUGUACACACUGAUCCUCCCUUGACCCACGGAAGCUUUGCAAAUUUAGACAGAAAAAUCAUUUAAUUAAAAUCGGAUUCGGAUCCGGAUCGGACCUAACCUUAGCGGAUCGGAUCGAAUAGGCGCCCAUACCUGACUUAGGUACCACGACUACGUUCCCUUUGUUUCGGCUUCCGCCAAAACCUCCACUUCUUCCUUUAGACGCCCGGCGCUAUAGUUCGCAGGGCGAACGCAACUGCGUUCUUCGUGUCUCCUCCUUCGAUCCCACUUCGUUCUCGAAGGUAUUGUUGCUCACUUGGUGUCUUCCCAUGUAAUUAUUCUUCUUUGUUCCUCCUUAUGUUUUUUAUUUAGGGCAUGGAUCGAUUCUUUCGUUAUCUUUGUAUUGUUUAAUUGCAAAGGAUGGAUUACGAUCGUUGUGGUUUACAGCAUCGAGUGUAGUUGGGUAAUUGAUAGUUUGUUCUGUAUAUGUUCCAGAGUGCAAACACAGCCUUCUCUGUUCGCAAUUUUCCCUUUUAUAUUUUCUUCCUCUGAUUUUUGCGUUCCUUAUCUUUUGAUCACACUAUUAUGUGAUGGAAUUAAACCAACAGAAACUUUAGAGCUUUAUUAGGAUUUAAAUAUGCCUAAUGUUUUUUUUGUUGUGGUUGGUACCUGCAGUUUAACUUUGGGGAUGAGAUUUGUCUCUCACAAUGGACACAAAACAUUCAGCAGAAAUGUUUAAGUAAGUUGAGGGUGCAUAGUUGGAUAUUUUCUAUUACUGUAUUCUUGUGAAUCGUCAAUUCAGUAUGAAUAUGUGUUGUACAGGCAUUUGGAGAAGCAAGGUGAAGUCCUCAUGGAGGCGCAUCGGGCGAUGUCACAUGAGCUACAUCGGCUUCAGGUUUUUCAUCUUUUUAGCAUCUACCAGACUACUAUGAAAUUGGCUGAUUAUUAUGAUCUUGUUCAUGUGAAGGUAGAGGAAGAAAUGCUUAUGCAGAAACUGUAUGAGCUCAUGUAUAUAAAAGGCCUGUUAAAAAAGGUACAUUUGUUUAUCAUAUAUUUCUCAAAAUUUACUACAAAAUUAUAUUGCUGAAGUAGUAUGUUAAAAUCAAUCAGAUGAAUUUUGGACUCAUCUGGUGUCAUGAAUGAGAGAUAACUCUUUCCUUUAAACUGUACUUGUUCUCAAUUUUCGGUUAUAUUCUUAUAGCAAUUUGUCCAUACCAGUAUUUUAGUAAUGGAGUUCCAGUUUCUGAUUCUUAAUUAUGAAAGUUUGUUUAUAACUUUGAGAUUGUCUCUCUUGUAAAACAUCAAUUUCGUGUCAUAUUGAAUUUUUGUCAACAACAAUCAAAGAAGAAUUUAUCUUUUAUUGUCAUUUUCAUAACUUCUUUUCAAUUCAACAUGUCCAAGUCAUCGUUUAGAAUUUCCAUCUAAUUCUUUUAACGACCAAGUUACAACAUAAUUUUGAGGCUUUUACAUAUUUUUUCUCGCAUCUAGAAAUCUGUUGUUGGUUCAAAUAUGAAAUGUAUUUUCCACAAUCAUAUCCGGAAGAAUAUUUGUUAAGUGUGCUUCAAUUUAGAUCAUUAUUGCAUUAAAGUUUUACAUUAAAUCAAAAAAUUGCUAUGGAAAUACUGUUUAUUUAUGUGAAUUGAAACUAAAAGGAACUGCACUUAAAUUGGAAGUAUACACAGCAAAAUUAUAAGAUAUGAACAGUCACAUUAAAGUGUUUUGUUGUGCUGUAUACACAUGGAACAAUUAAUCCUUGGGCAAUGUAAUCUAUGACACAAUUAUCCUAUAAGCAUGGACAAUAUGCAUAGACCUAAAAGACUCAGCUACUGUUAGGUAUUAUUGCACAAAGCUUCAAAUCUUCACGGUAGCAUCCUUUCACUUCCUUAAAAUGUGAAUCGUAAUCAGUGGAUCUGUCACCAACAUAAUCCUGCGGCAAUGACCUUUCAUGAACUGACCUUUUCAUCACACAACUGGUUCUCAAGAAAACAUUCUUCAAUAGAUUAUAUAAGCGAAGUUCAUCUCUCUGUCUACGGAGAUAUUGAAUGGUUCUUAUUUUCUUAUGCAGGAAAAGAGAGGAGACAAUGAUUCAAGUAUAGAUGCAAAUAAAUCAAUCUAGACAAAUUGGUACACAGUGUAAGCAAUCUUGAUUCUAUCACAAAUCUCAGUGCUUGUGUUCUCUGUGUUAGAACUGAGAUGCUAUUAUCAGUUCCUCAUUUCUGUUUGUGUAGUUUGGGGAGUCGUUCUUCAUGAUGAUGGUUGGAUUGGAUGAGAUCAAGAAGCUUAACAAAACAUGUAUCUACAUUGCAAUGUUCAACCACAGUGAAAGAGGCUUUAUAGAAACAAAACCAUUUGUCAAAGAGCUAUCCAAAGCAGAUUAAAUCUCGAUAGAAACAGCUACAGCUCAGUGUUUUUACCUUGUUCUGGGAACACAUUUUUUCUUUGUACAUAACAGAGAGAGAGAAAUUUUACUGAGAUCCAAGUAUUUUAUGCUAAUAAAGUGAAGUUUAGCACAUUUAUUUGCUCACAAGCAAUUCCACUGACAAGUUAGUCAUCUUGACCAGGAAGGGUGCUUUUAUCCUAAUCCAGGCUUACAAGCUGAGAUCUCUUAUGGGUAAAUUCAUGAAAUGCACAUUGGUCGCUUCAGAACACAAGCUGUAAGCUCUUUUCAGUUCAUUGCUGUUUGUCCUCAAAAUUUUCCCUAUUGAGUAACAUGCAAUUGCUUGCCUCCUACUUAGAAUGCAGCUGGAAAUUCAAGCUACUACUGCUCCUGUUCUCGAGAUUGGACAUUGGACCAUCUCAAGACCUUUUGAGUUGACCUGAUCCAUCACUUUCUCAGUUGACCUCGCAAACAAACAAGAGAGUUCUUCCCAAGACUAGACUUGUACAGUAAGUCCCAAGAAAUUUCUCAUGUUUGGGAUAAAAAGGUCCACAAGAAAACAAAAUAAUCAUAAAAAUAACGAUAAUAAUCGAUCAUGAUUAUGAGUCAAGAUAUAUUGAUUUAUAUCCUUUCAUCUCAUUCCCGAGUAUCAAUUUUGGUCUUUAUAUAUCCCUCGAAUGUAUUAAAGAUAUAUUAUAAUAAUAAUAAUUUGGGUCUCCGUUGGCCCCAAAUUAAUUGGUUCCCGGCCCGUGCAUAUAAUUUUGAGUUGAUCUGAUUUGACUCCACAAUUCCUGGUCGCUUCCUCCAAAUGCAUGGAAACUAUGCCACCACUCCCCCUCCCGUCAGUAUAUUUCGGAUCGACGUCUCUUUCCCCUUCUUCCUACCUUCCUCCUUCCCUCCUCCCUCCUCCAUGAACUUUAUUCUUCACCUUCCUUUCUCCUCCUACAUCGCAGUCUUGUCGUAGAAACCGCGAAGAAGUUUUGAGCUUUUGAGGCCUUUAUUGGAAGCGAGCCCUUCACUCGGGACUUGGCUACAAGUAGCCACUGGAGAAGAGGAAGAAGAGGAGGAAGGGGCCGAGGAGGCAGGAUGGAGAGCUACCUGAACGAGAACUUCGGUGGGGUGAAGUCGAAGAACUCGACGGAGGAGUCGCUCGAGCGAUGGCGGAAGCUCGUCGGCGUCGUCAAGAACCCCAAGCGCCGCUUCCGCUUCACCGCCAACCUCUCCAAGCGCUCCGAGGCCGCCGCCAUGAAGCGCUCGAACCAUGUACGCGUACACCCCCGCUUUACAUUCUCGAUCGUGGUUGGCACUUUGUUAGAGCUGAAAUUGACAUAACCUGUUUCAUCCAUCAUCUUAAGCUUUUAAUUUGAUGUGUAACCAUGAAACUUUACAUGAUAUGGCCAUCUUGCUAGCCCACAUCUUGAUAGUCCUUGUCUAAUUCGUAUCAUUCAUGUUUCACUUCUGUUUUUGACUCUGUUUAGGGUUGAUUUCAGAGUUGCCACAUAAUCAUGCAUUUAUUUAGAUAUUCUUUUUAGAGAACAGUAGAAAUAAAUUUUUUUUUCAUGGUUUAGCUCCUAAAAGUGAAAAAGUCUUUUAGGUUUAAUGUUGCAACAACACCUCUAAUAAUCAUCCUAGAUUAAUUUCCUUGGAAGCAUCCUUUUCCUGAGGUUGCUGUAUGGCUGCAGUUGAUCUGAGCUUUACAAGCCGAUCCACAAGCGUGGCUUGAAAUUAAUCUGGGGCCUAGAAGAAGAUCAAUAUUUGGUUGUUGUAUGGUUGAUCGAGUUUAGUUUCAAACCAAGCUGAGUUGAGCCUGUAUCAAAGAGCUCGUUAGUGAAAACCAUGCUUCGCCCAUACCUCCCAUGAGCCUCAGUUAGGUUUGCUUUAGUUUAUUUAAUUGAUCUUUAUUACUUAUAUACAUUAACUUUUCAAUGAUGAAAGAUAAGUGUUUUUUUAUAAUAACUUAAAAGGUACAUGCAACAAAACACAUAAAAUAGAAAUUACAGUUGGGAUGCUACUUUGUGAUCUUUGGCGACUAGAAUUUGAAUCAUGAAAACAACCUCUUUGCUUAAAAGGGUGAAACCACAUAUAUUAACUCAUCCCAAAGUCCUCAUCGUUAGGUGCUUGUGCUUUGGUACAAUUACUGAAAUAGAAUUUUUAGAUGAUAUGUAAUAUACCUAGUCAUAAUAUUUUGUUUUAAGAAUGAGUCGUAUCAAUUUUUUUAUAUCAACAAAUCCUUUACUAUGAGAGCUUCCUUACCAGUGUUAUACAUUUUGUCUUAUGAAAAUUGCCUCAUGUGUUAAAAGAACUACAAAACCAACAAACAUAAAAGAACUUAUUGAUUUCUGAGUCAACUACAUCAUCCAUCCAUUACAACCAUUUUGAUGUAAUUCGAGGAUAUAUACAUGUAAUACACACAUAUGGGCUGGCAUGCAAACACAAAUACAAAGACAGACACAUAUAUUUGAGCCAAUUCUAGUCUGAUCAGGCAUAGCUAUGUUCAAGCCUGAACCAUGCUUGAAAUUAAUUUCUAGUCUAUAGUGUCGUUGAGGAUCAUCUUGUGUAUACUCAAACCAAGCUUAAUUACUGGCCCUAGACUUCAGUUGUGCUUUCUGUCCUUCAGUUGAUAUUGCUGAUAGAAUAUUUCAUUUGACAUACUCCAAAAGUCAAUGAACCUAAUUAUUCUACUUUGCUUGCUGAAACUUGAUGAACUUCAAAUCGUUGUACACAUCUUCAGUCCUUGCUUGUUGGAUUUAGAAUACUAAUCCCUUACAAAGAGACUUAGCUCCAUAUCUGCAUGGUCACUGACUGUAGCAGUGAGAGAUAUGCUCCAACCUAUAUAAUGUUGCCCGUUCACUAUAAGUCUGGCAUUUAUUUUAUGUACAACAAUUUUCUUUCUCCAUAGGGAGACUGAUUAGUUAUUUUUUCUUUUCCAGGAGAAAUUGCGAGUAGCUGUUUUGGUUUCAAAAGCCGCAUUGCAAUUUAUUCAUGGUAAUCCGUUGUUGAUACUGAGAUGUAGUUUUAAAGUUGGCAUGGUGACAUAGUUUCUUUUCUUGGCUUCAAAGAUGUUUUUGUUUCUACAAUCUUUUCUUACAAUUUUGCAUUAACAAAUGUGUUUAGGUAUCGCAUUGCAUAGUGAGUACAUUGUGCCUGAUGAAGUGAAGAAAGCAGGCUUCCAAAUUUGCCCUGAUGAAUUGGGUUCCAUAGUUGAAGGCCAUGAUGUGAAGAAGUUGAAAGUCCAUGGUGGUGUUAAUGGUAUUGCGGACAAACUUUCAACAUCAACAACAAAUGGACUAAUUGCUACAGAGGAGAGUUUGAAACACAGGCAAGAUAUUUAUGGAGUAAAUAAAUUUACUGAAAGCCAGGUUCGGAGUUUUUGGAUAUUUGUUUGGGAAGCACUUCAAGACAUGACUCUCAUAAUUCUUGCUGUGUGUGCUUGUAUAUCCCUUAUUGUUGGCAUUGCCACAGAAGGAUGGCCAAAAGGUGCACAUGAUGGACUUGGCAUUGUGGCUAGCAUACUGUUGGUUGUCUUUGUUACUGCAACUAGUGAUUACCGACAAUCUUUACAGUUCAAAGAUUUGGAUAAGGAGAAGAAGAAGAUAUCUGUACAGGUUACACGUGAUGGCUUCAGACAGAAGAUUUCAAUAUAUGAUCUUCUUCCUGGUGAUCUAGUGCAUCUUGCAAUUGGAGAUCAAGUUCCUGCUGAUGGGUUAUUCAUGUCUGGAUUUUCCUUAUUGAUCAAUGAAUCCAGUUUAACAGGAGAGAGUGAACCUGUCAAUGUGAAUUCUGACAAUCCAUUUCUUUUAUCUGGAACUAAAGUCCAAGAUGGAUCUUGUAAAAUGCUAGUAACUACAGUUGGCAUGAGAUCACAAUGGGGUAAGUUGAUGGCCACCCUUAGCGAAGGAGGAGAUGAUGAAACUCCAUUGCAGGUCAAACUGAACGGAGUUGCCACUAUCAUAGGGAAAAUUGGCUUGGUAUUUGCAGUUGUGACAUUUGCAGUGCUUGCUGAAGGACUAAUCAAACAUAAGUUUCAACAUGGUUCAUACUUGAGCUGGUCAACAGAUGAUGCAUUAGAGUUGCUGGAGUAUUUUGCUGUUGGAGUCACUAUUGUAGUGGUUGCAGUUCCUGAAGGAUUGCCUUUAGCUGUAACCUUGAGCCUUGCUUUUGCCAUGAAAAAGAUGAUGAAUGACAGAGCACUGGUCCGCCAUCUUGCUGCUUGUGAAACUAUGGGUUCAGCUACAUCUAUUUGCAGUGACAAGACAGGUACAUUGACAACCAAUCACAUGACUGUUGUGAAAGCUUGCAUAUGUGGGAAUAUCAAGGAGGUUAAUAAUCAUGAAGAAAUAAAACAUGUUUGCUCCCAGGUUCCAGAUGUUGCUCUAAAAGUACUCAUGCAAUCCAUCUUUUAUAACACUGGCGGUGAAGUUGUUAUCAACCAAGCUGGAAAACUUGAAAUACUUGGAACGCCAACUGAGACUGCUCUGUUGGAAUUUGGAUUGUUACUAGGUGGGGAUUUCCAGGUUGCACGUCAGGAGACCAAGAUUGUCAAAGUGGAACCAUUUAAUUCUGAAAAGAAGAGAAUGGGAGUGGUUCUCCAGCUUCCAGGAGGAGGAUACAGAGCCCAUUGUAAAGGUGCUUCAGAAAUUAUAUUGGCUGCUUGUGAUAAGGUUUUAGAUUCUGCAGGUAACACUGUCCUGCUUGAUGAAUCAACAUUCAGUCAACUCAAGAGUACUAUAGAAAGUUUUGCCAGUGAGGCUCUCCGUACACUGUGCCUUGCUUACAUGGAAAUUGAGAAUGGUUUCACAGCUGAUGAACAAAUCCCUAUUAAUGGAUUCACUUGUAUUGGAAUUGUUGGCAUCAAAGAUCCUGUUCGUCCAGGUGUAAAAGAUUCGGUUGCAAUUUGCAGGUCUGCCGGAAUUACUGUGAGAAUGGUUACAGGGGAUAACAUAAACACUGCAAAGGCUAUUGCUCGAGAAUGUGGUAUUCUUACUGAUGAUGGGGUUGCUAUUGAAGGUCCAGACUUCAGGAGUAAGAGUCUGGAGGAAAUGAUGGAUUUAAUACCAAGACUUCAGGUUCUAUUUCUCAUACAUUAUCAUUAAAAACAUUCUUUUGAUUAGUGGAUUUUUUUUUUCUUAUUAUCUCUCUAAUAUAUUAACUUACCAGGUGAUGGCUAGAUCGUCACCAAUGGAUAAACAUACCUUGGUGAAACAUCUGCGCACCAUGUUCAAUGAAGUUGUUGCUGUGACUGGUGAUGGCACAAACGACGCUCCAGCACUUCACGAGGCAGAUAUUGGGCUUGCAAUGGGAAUUGCAGGAACUGAGGUAGUGUUUGUGACAUAUCCAAGUUAUAGAUAUUAAUUGUUUUGGUACUGUGGAAAUUAAAGUAGUAUUUUUUUUUUUCUGACCUAGUAUUUAAGCACAUUGCUUUUGGUGGAGCAUGUAAGAUAAGUGUCCAUGCCUUUUGGUGUCCACCUAUUUCUCAUGGUAGGAUCCAAGAAGGGUCAAAGUAUGUUGUCUUAUUUUUGUUAAAAAGGUCUUUUUAUGACUUGGGCCUUGAUUACGCUCCUAAAUUACAUAUUCAUAAUCUUUGAUAAAUUUAGUUGUGCCGUAGCUUCAUAAGUUCUCUUUGUUUUGGUUCAACUAUUUAUGGUCAAGGAGCCCAGUUACUGUUAAUGCCAUAAAUUGCAGUAUCUCUUAGUCUAUUGCAUAGUUGAGUUUUAGUUAAUCUUAUCAUGAAUUUGUUCGCAAAAUACUGUGAUAUGCAGGUGGCUAAAGAAAGUGCUGAUGUUAUUAUUCUUGAUGACAACUUCUCAACUAUUGUAACUGUGGCAAAAUGGGGACGUUCAGUGUACAUAAACAUUCAAAAGUUUGUGCAGUUUCAGCUGACUGUUAAUGUUGUUGCUUUAAUUGUAAACUUCUCCUCAGCCUGCAUAACCGGUAAAGUUAGCCCUUUUAACGGUAUCAAGUUCCGGUGUACCUCAAAAUUCUCUCUCAUUGUUCUUUUCAUUUGCCUGUUCUGUAUUAGGACAUGCUCCGCUAACUGCCGUUCAACUGCUCUGGGUGAACAUGAUUAUGGAUACACUUGGGGCACUCGCAUUAGCCACUGAGCCACCAAAUGAUGAAUUGAUGAAAAGAUCUCCUGUUGGAAGAAAAGGCGGUUUUAUUAGUAACACAAUGUGGAGGAACAUCCUAGGACAAGCCUUGUACCAGUUCAUUGUGAUAUGGUAUCUCCAGAGAGAAGGGAAAGGGCUGUUUCAACUUGAGGGCCCUGAUUCUGAUCUUGCACUAAACACUCUUAUUUUCAAUUCCUUCGUCUUUUGUCAGGUAAACUCACAAAUUUCAUGUUUAUUGUUCUUUGUUUUACUACCUGUUUGAAAGAAUAUGAUAAAUACUAAAAGACAUUGUCCAUAAUUUUUAUUUUAUGAAACAAAUUCCUGAUUUCUUCAGCACAUGAGAUAAACCUGCAUAUGGAAAACUAACUUUUAGCAUUUUUAUACCAUAAUUUAAGAACCAGUUGUCUGUAAACUGCUAUUUAGAUGAACAGUCACUCUAAUUCAGACGAGGACCUCAUUUUGGACCCAAGAGCUUCCGUAUCAUCUACAUGCUUGAAAGACAUGAAAAUGGAUGCGGCUGUUGAUACACCAAUGUGGUUGACUAUAACUUUAUCAAUAAACUUGACAAAAUUAUUUUAGUUGGGUCUGCACCAUGUAUUAUGUCAGUCAUUUUAAUUGGAUAUAGAACGUAUCUUUUCAAUUAUGCAAAAGACUUGUGCAGCAUCUUUUAUAUCAUUAGAGGCCAAAAAGUGACGUAACAUACCAUUCUCAAAAUCUCGAGUCAAUCUGAACUUGGGAGCUUGUCAUGCAGGUAUUCAAUGAGAUCAGCUGCAGAGAAAUGGAAAAGAUCGAUGUGUUCCAUGGCAUAUUGGAGAAUUAUGUAUUCGUGGCUGUCAUCACCUGUACCAUCAUCUUCCAGUUCAUAAUCGUUCAGUUCCUUGGAGAAUUCGCGAACACCACUCCGUUGACUUUAUAUCAGUGGUUUGCCUGUGUGUUCAUUGGGUUUCUUGGUAUGCCUAUUUCUGCUGCCAUCAAGAUGGUUCCUGUGGGUUCCAAGUAAGGAAUCAGAGUCUUAGGAGAUUUCCCUAAUCAUCUAACAACAGAUUUUUGUGUGUCAAUAGCUAUCUCCAUGGAUUUUGUAAUGUUGUCGAUUGUAGAGGAUACCAUGGAGCCAGUUGCAAGAACAUUCUAUUAGAACAUAACUGUCUUUUCGAUGCUUUUUUUUUCUCUUAACCUUUAUGGCAGAGGCAACUGUUUUCUUCAAAGAGCAAUUUGAUGUGAAUUCAAGGAUGUAGUCCUCAAAACUGAUUGUAUCAUAUGUGGAAUGCAUGCUUUCAAUAGGUAAAUGUUUGGGAUGUAUAUAUCUUCGUAUGAAAGUGACAAAUGUAAGUAGUAAUGUCUUAACUAUUUAUGAUCGUUUUCCGUCAUUGAAUUCUAUAUAAAAUAAUAUUUUUAUAUAAAUAAAAUAUAUUUAAUUUUUUAUUUAUAAUUUUUAUGAUGUAAAAGUCUUAUUUACGUAUGAUAAUACUCAGAAUUCUAGGAAUCUUAUCCAAUAGCACAGCUCUUAUUCUCGAUACAUGGCAUCAAAUCCGAGCUGUUGCCAACCCUCCUCCCUCUCCAUUCCAUCCGCCUGUGUUUUCCUUCUCGACUUGUUUCCUCUGUUUUGGUAUUCCUUCCAUUACCAUUAAAAUGCACGCUCUUACCGCCACCAAAACCGCGAAAGGCAACUGUCAACCGUUUCCCUUCUCCCAUCUUCUCCCAUAACGCUCUCUCUCUCUCUCUCUCUCUCUCUCUCUCUCUCUCUCUUCGUCGCCAAUGGCGUCGCUGAGCCCCGGCGUCCUCCUCAGGCUCCUCCAAGACGACAAAUCAUCCUCCAACCCCCCACGCCGCCCGCUCCACGCCACCCCGGCCGUCCUCCAGAUCACCGGCAUCGUCCCCGCCGUCGCCGGCCCAGACCUCUGCCCCGACAAAGGCUUCUACAUCAAGGUCUCCGACUCCUCCCACUCCAUCUACGUCUCCCUCCCUGCUGACCUCAACGACCUCAUCCUCGCCGACCGCCUCCAGCUCGGCCAACUCAUCCAGGUGCGCCGCCUCGAGCCCGCCUCCCCUGUUCCCGUGCUCCGUGACUUCCGCCUCCUCGCCGGCCGCCACCCCUGCCUCCACGACACCGUCGACCUCAUAUACGCCGCCCCGGCUGCUUCUUCGAGCGCCACCCCUCCUCUGCCCCCACCCGAGAAGAAGAAGCGGCAGCUGCAUUCGAGGUCCCACUCGAGCGUGGGGGACCGGAUCAGCGAGGUCGGCAUGAGCUCCCCGUCCUUCGCCCCUUCGCCCACGAACCGAGCGGCGAAGAGACGAGAGAGGAGGAGCUCGGACGCCCUGCACGAGCUGCAGAAGUUUACCGUUCCGUGCAUGGAUGAAGAUACCUACGACUCCGACGACUCGAGAUUCUCCUGCACUUCGUCUCCCGCGUCGUCGAGAUUCUCUUACGCCUCGUCUUCCUUCUCGUCGCCGUCUCCCUGCACGACGAAGGCGAGGAAAAGCUGGCACGCCUCAGGGAGGAUCACCGAGCGGAGAAGAGAGGCGAAACCCACAGUUCAGAGUCGAAGCGCAAGUGUAAGCUUAGCAGCUGCCAUUCCUUCUCCUCAUCCCCUGAAGAACUCUGUCGAUUUGCUGCGAAAUGAUUGAUUGCUCUGCUCCAUGACCUUGAUAGGUUUCUCCGAGUAGGUUAGCUCACCAUGCAAGGUUGAUGCCGAAAGAUGAUGCACCAGCAGCUUUCCAAAGAAACACCGAGAAGGCUCUCAAAGUGCUUGGUAAUUCCGGUAAGUGGAAGCUCCCUGGUUCAGAUAAAGCAAGCACAGAAAUCUCUUCCACGACGACGACCUCCUUCUGCUCAUCGGAUGGCGGCGUCCUCUGGGCUUCGCUGCCUCCAAACUUGAUGAGGCAUGGGAAGGUACUCCAUUCACUAUAUGUCUUUCUCCUCGAGAUGUCAGUGAUGACCCCAUGGAUUGAUUCACUUGUGCAGGAGGUCGUAAGGCAGCGAGAUUCAUCACUGCAAGCUGCCAUCGACGCGUUGCUGGAGGCAUCUGCCGCAGAUAAACUGAUCGAGUGCUUGAGGCAAGUGAGCAUUAGAUUUCCAGAAGUUGAGAGUCUCUGUAAACAUGUCAUGUGUGUUUUUUACUUGGCAUUUGCAGCACGUACUCAGAGCUGCAGUCCGACAAGGAUGGCGAUCCACAGCUCAUGGUCAACAGGUUCUUGAACUUUCACCAUACGCUGGGGCAGACCAGAUUAAUCGCUCAGUCAUUAGAAAGAUCGACCCAGCCGAGUUCAUGCAACUACAACCCUGCUUCGGCCAGAUCAGUGGGCAAGGUUGCAGCAGAGAGAAAAAGCUGCGCCACCUCGUGGGUCAAAGCAGCUCUGGAGUCGGAUCUUGUACGAUUCCCCACGCAGGUAAAGGCUCUUCCUGAGACUUCGGAAGCACCACCAAGUCAUGGAGGAAGAACAAAGAAUAGUUUGGCCAAGGGGAGCAGCCUGCUGCUGGCGUCGAACACAUUGCAGCACGAGUACAACAGAUGGUUUCUGAGAUACAUCGACAAGUUUCUGGAUUCAAUCCAGAGCAAAACCGGAUACGAUGGAUGCGAGCUGGAAGUGGCAGGUUUGCUGUGCCAGUUAAAGCGAGUCGAUGGCUGGUUAAACAGCAUCACCAGCAAGGAGAUCAGCUCCUGGCCGAGGGACAGACUCAGAGAUGGCGUGCUGUCGGAGGAGGACGAAGCUGAAGCAUGCGAGAGAGUGCGAAGGAAGAUAUACAACGUGCUUCUGCGGCAUGUGGAGAGUGCUGCCAUUGCUCUGGAAAGCAUGAGCACACCUGAUGAGGAGCAAGACAGGGAGCUGAUGCUAAGUUCGUAGCAGAACCAGCAUGAGCAAGACAGGAAGAUUAAUCGGUACAACAUGUUGGCUUUUGUUGCCUGUGAUGGUCUCUGUCUCCUGAUCUUUCAUCCAAACAAGACAGACAUCUGGAUCAUUAAUUCACUUCAUUCUCUACAUGAAUCUGCAUGCUGUUAAUGAUGGUAACAUGAUGAGGAUGAGAAGAGAGAAGAUAAUUCCAAAGAAUUUAUGAGAGUAGCAUGAUUCUUAGCACAUUGAGCCUCUUGUCUCUUCAUUCGGGCUUGCCUCAUGAAUUCUCUCCUAAACAAUAAAAGAGAACCAUCUUCAUCCAGGAAGCUUCAUUUCAACCUCUUCUUAGUUCCUGGCAAUACAAGCUACUGUAGAAUGAAUGCAGUGAUCCUAACAUACGGAGGGUGUUAAUAUAUAAUAGAACUAAUUAGAUUCUGAUGAUAAAUAUUGAUUAAUAAAAAAAUAUAUUAUAACAUGAUUCCUUAGGAGAUAUGAAAGAGUUUUUCUAUUAAUUUAUUCUAGACUCUCUUCUCUCAUCUAUAAAUAGACAGGAUUUUUAGGGAUUUAAGAACGUAUAUUACAAAGAACACAAUUGAGAGAUUAUAAUUUCUCUCUCAAUUUUCUUAAUCCAUAAAUCUAAAUGAUCGAAUAGAAAAAGAGAAGAAUGAGAGUCUAAUUCUCCUUGACAGUGGUUUUAGAUCUAAAAGUAAUACUCAGAUCACUCACAUAUCUUUUUCAGAUGAUAUUAAAAAAUAUAUAUCAUAAAAUCGAUAUAAUGCUAUUUGAUUUCAAUCCUAAUAUAAAUUUUUUUCAUAUUAUAUAUAUAUAUUAUAAUAGAUUUCAAGCUUAGCCCGAAGAGCAAUGACUCAUACAGACCUCAUGAUUCCAUCACCUCCUCCUGCAAAAGACCUGCACUCUGCACAACGAGAUCUGUCGUCCAUCAAAAGCUACCGGAGAAUCGUCAGCAUCAGAAAUAUUUGAUGUUUAGUUUCAUCAUUUCCAAUCCCCCACCCACCCGACACCCUCUACAUCCCAAAUCUUAUUAUAGAUAACAAAGGUUCCAUGUCCAAAACGAAACUUCCCAGUCAAAAACACACGACAUUGAUGCUUGUCCAUGUCAACUCGUUAUCUCUGCAUUUACGCCUUGCAGAAAACAGAGCAGGAGAGAGACAGAGACUUGUCACUGCUCCACGGUGGACAAUGAACGUAUGGAGACACUUUAGAUUUUGAAUGCCCUCCGACAACAUAGAAAACAGGAUUAGCAGCUUCAUCUUUUCAGAUGUAGAGUGCUUGUCAGGAGACAUACACUGAACCACUCCAUGAAGCAGAAGCUCUCCGACAUCAGUAUCUAUCACUCAUGCUCGUGGCCUAAUUGGAUUAAGAUGCAAUGGAUGGAAGAACACAACAACAAAAAAUAUAGCAGUAGGUGGAUUAGUCUUACCAAAUCUUCCAAUGAACACAGUAUCAGCAAAGAUUUGAUGCUGUCUCUUCUCCAACAAUACCAAGUGUGCCGAUGAAUAGAUUAAAACCCUAGCUGGGAACCUUCCUGCCGAUAUAAAAGACAUUAAGAAAAGAUUUGGUGAGGUUUUAUAUUUCAUGUGUUCUUCUGUACUCCAUUUUGAGCUUGAAUUAAGAAUCCACAUGUUGUCACCAACCUCAACAUCCAACCACUGGAAGAAUUGUUUGGGUUAGAUGAUAGGUAGAUUUAUUUGGAUUCAGUAGACAUUUUGAGUUGAGUUCUGACUAAAGAUAUGUAUGUAUACCUUUGUCAUCCCUAAUCAUAAACAAUGAAAUUAAAUCCUAUGAUACCAAACAACAUAAUCUGUUCAUAGGUCUUAAACCACAUGAUUCAAAGUAUUUAAACAACCCAACAAUUACAAUCUUUCCUCUUCUUCUUCUUCUUCUUCUUUUUGUCUCCAACACACUACUAAUAUAAGCUGUCCAUAGCAUGCAGACUGAGGAAGUUUCACCGGUAACUUCCACCGCAGUGGCGCGAGAUCAGCUCAACGGAGCUGUUGGGCACGUGUCACCAGAUGUGCGCCUCUGGGCACCUCCAUCACGAAUCACGGAGCAGGUGACAGCCGACCCACGGAAGUAUCACAUGCCGACACCUUUUUUCCCCUUUAUUUUUCUUUUUUCUUUGCAACGAAUAAAUAUUUAAAGAAAGAAAAGAGAGCCUUUUUUUUUCCUUUGCUUUUAUAAGAUGUAUUUACAUCGUCCCAGCUAAUGUUUGACCGCCACGUGUCUAUGCUUGUACUAGUCCGUCGCCGUCUACAGGGAGCGCCGAACAGCCACGUGUCGUCCUCUGCUGGGAAUAAUCCAUCAGCUUCGUGGUCGGUCGUCGCAAAAGCUCGAUCAACGCUUCCGCCUGCUUAAUUAUUUUUUGAAUUAAGUAAAAUUAGAUAAAAGAAUAAUAAAAUUGACGAAGGAAGUGAGGUGAGGUGAGGUGAGGUUACCGACCUUGUCCUUGGUCUUCUUGGAGGAGGACUGGGAGAGGGCGAUGAGCGGCGGGAUAGCGCCCUCGCGGAUGACCAUCUUCCGGUAGGCGGCGCUUUCCUCGCAGAUCUCCAGCAGCGAAAGCAUCGCCACCUCCUUCUGGCGCUGGCUUCCCACUUCCACCAUCUCCACGAGCACCGGGACACCGCCCUCCUCCACCGCCGACGCUCGGCCCUCCGGCUCCGACAGCAGCCGGUGCAGCACGUACGCCGCCUUGUCCACCAUCUCGGACUCCGGGUCGGCCAUUAGGUCUAGAAGCGGGCGCACCACCCCGGCCUCGACGGCCCGGGCCUUGUUCUCCUUCGCGGCCAGGAGGGUGAAGAGGGCGGUGGCGGCGUCCUUCUUCCCGCGGGAGCCGCCGGUCUCGAGGAGGGCGACGAGGGGCGGGAUGGCGCCGGAGCGGCCGAUGACGGCCCGGAGGUCGUCGAGCUGGGCGAGGCGGAGGAGGGCGCAGGCGGCGUUCUCGCGGGCGGCGGGAGUGCCGGAGCGGAGGGCGCGGACGAGGUAACGGACGGCGCCGGCGGCGGCGAUGGGCCCCUUGUUCUCGUCGCAGAGGGAGAGGUUGAGGAUGGCGGUCACGCCGUGCUCCUGCAGCUGCGGGUCCGGGUGUGAGAGGAGGGCGACGAGCGGGACGACGGCGCCGGCGCGGGCGAUGCGGAGGCGGUUCUCGGUGCUGUGCUUGGCGAGGAGGCGGAGCUCCAUUGCGGCGCGGCGCCGGGACUCGACGGAGGGGGACCCGAGGUCGGAGAUGAGGCCGCGGACCUCCUCGUCGGAGUAGUAGUCGGAGGCAAGAAGGCGGCGGAGGGAGGAAGCGCCGUUGCCGGAGGCGGAGCAUUGGCUGUUGCAGUCGCUGAAGGCGCCGGAAGAGCCGGCGCCGUCGCUGUAGCUCCGCCUCGCGUGGCGGCCAAACUCCGGCGGGUUCUCCAUCAGCAUCAUUGCAAUCGGAUGAAACCCCCAAUCCAACUCGAGAAGGAAGCGAAUGAUAUGAUAUGCUUCGUUGCCUUUUGAGAAGAGGGCAAAGCAAGCAUAGCAUAGCAGUAGUAUAAAUAGGCCGAUCGCCAUGGCGGGGCGUUGGGAAGAGGGUAGAGCGUUCGAAGCUCGCACGUGGGACCCAGGUGUCGGCGUACGGGCGUCUCCCUGGCGGGCGCACGUGGGGAGGCCCGGCUCGGGCGGUGCGGUUUAAUCGCGUACGACCGAAGACGGUCGAACCGGGUCGGUGGUUUGUUCUGCCCUUUUUAAGUGCAAGACGCUUGCGAGGAACGUAACCCCGGGCAACCCCCACGCGACUCCUACCCUUAUCAUGAUUGGAGAGACACUUGAGGUCUGGCAUGGGACCCAUCGGAGUUUUUCUUAAGUCCAUCAUCCAUUCCACUCGAAUUAGUUGAUUUCUUACCUUAACAUCAAGUCUUUGGAUUAAAUCGUGUGCUCAUCGAGGGUUGAGUUUUAUGAUUAUUUUAGGCUUGAAAUGUAAGGAUAGAGACAAAAUUACUCAAAAGCAUGAUCUCUAAUCAUUCAUUUUGGGUGCUUUUAGAGUGACCAAAAGCAUUAAUCAUCUUAAUACAUUGGAGCUUUUGAGUGGUACAUUAUUGGUUGAGCCAAUAGGAUAGUACCUUGUAUCAUCGUUGUUGGGAUAUGUUACAUGAAUACUUAUUUGUGUGAACUUUUGAGAGCAAUGAGACUGUCGUCGAUCCUUUUUUUAUAUGACUAUUCAAAUCUUACAAAGUUUAUUAUUGUAUUUUGCAUUGUCCAUUAAAUAUUUGAUAAAAUAUCUAAUUACGAGAUCUCAAGUUUAAUACUUCUAUUAAUAUGUUUCUUUUUUGAUAAAUCCUUAGGAUGUAAACUCUUUGCGGACGAACGUGUCUCACGACUUAGAGAUGAAAGUUUUAUCCUGAUAUAAUAAUAUACAUUAUCCGAGUAUUGAAUUGACAAAUUUCUAUAAUAUACUUCAUAUAUAUAAUUAACUAUUUAAAAUUCAUAAUUAAAUAAUAUAAUAUUACAUGAAGAAUCUAGUAUAAUAUUUUAAUUAUUACCAUUAAUUUGAGUCUAAAUAUUAUACGUCAUGUUGGAGCAUUCAUCGUGGACUCAUUUUACAUGUUUAUUUAUAAUUUAAAGAAAUAUCUUGUUCGACUCAUUUUAGAUGUUUGUUUGUAAUUUGGAUGUUUGGGUUAAAUCAUCGAUGAUGAUGGACCAUUUGGUCGAUCGGUCAUUGGUGCGGCCCGUAGGCUUGUAAAGAAUUAUAACUUUUGACGAUGGGCAUACCCGUACAAUUAUAUCCUUUCCGAGCAUGUAAACUCCAAAAAGUACAUUUAAGGGUAGGAGUGAUUCGACGAACUUAUGAGUCAUUGGUUCUCAUACUCCUCAACCAAUGUAGAACUAAAUGGUCUUAUCAAUCAGCAAGACAAAUUUAAGUCCAUCAAUAAUGAUUGUAUAAUCUCUUGUCAAUGUGAUCGAUCGCCUCUAAAAUAUGAAGUUAUUAGAAAAGAUAUGACACGAUAUAUAGUAUCUCAAAUUCAAUUAGGAUGUACUUUUAUUGAGAUAUGGUAUUACAUAUUUAAGAAAAAGUUGACUUGAUUGGGAUGUAAUUUGUUUACUUGUGACAUGGAGAGAAAUCUAAACAUAUUAAUUUUUUAUGGAUAUGUUUCCAUCUACAAGUCUAAUUUUACAUGAUAAUUUGACAAUUAAUUAAUGCCACCAACAUCUUCUAAUCACAACGCAAUUACUAUUUUAUUCCAUGAGAAGUGUUGUCGCAAUCAAACUUUCUGCUUGAUGAAAUCUCAAGAUGGAUCGGAGAGCAUUCGAACAUGCAAUUGUUACUGUUAUCACAAUUAUUUUUAUCGAUAUCAUUUCGACUACAACAUGAUACGAUGAUUGGUGUUGCCACCGUGCGGUGGGCUAAGAAGAAAUAGAGAGCAAGUGAGGUACGUGAAAAGGCUUCUCGGGAACUCAUCGAUGGUGUUCGUGAAUCAUCAAAUUAGAAGCCAUUUCGUGUUUAUUUCCAAGAUUUUGAAGCUCGCUUGUGUGGAGGAUGAGAAAUCCGUGGAGAUUACAAUGAUUUGGAAUUUGAUGUUAAAUCUUCAAACGUUCUUCCACAUCUCAUUACAAUGAUUCAUCUCCCAUAAUUCUGAUUCGUUCUACUCCUAAUAAUAAUAAUAAUAAUAAUAACAAUAAAUAUUAUUAUUAUUAUUAUUAUUAUUAUUAUUAUUAUUAUUAUUAUUAUUAUUCUUCUUNNNNNNNNNNNNNNNNNNNNNNNNNNNNNNNNNNNNNNNNNNNNNNNNNNNNNNNNNNNNNNNNNNNNNNNNNNNNNNNNNNNNNNNNNNNNNNNNNNNNNNNNNNNNNNNNNNNNNNNNNNNNNNNNNNNNNNNNNNNNNNNNNNNNNNNNNNNNNNNNNNNNNNNNNNNNNNNNNNNNNNNNNNNNNNNNNNNNNNNNNNNNNNNNNNNNNNNNNNNNNNNNNNNNNNNNNNNNNNNNNNNNNNNNNNNNNNNNNNNNNNNNNNNNNNNNNNNNNNNNNNNNNNNNNNNNNNNNNNNNNNNNNNNNNNNNNNNNNNNNNNNNNNNNNNNNNNNNNNNNNNNNNNNNNNNNNNNNNNNNNNNNNNNNNNNNNNNNNNNNNNNNNNNNNNNNNNNNNNNNNNNNNNNNNNNNNNNNNNNNNNNNNNNNNNNNNNNNNNNNNNNNNNNNNNNNNNNNNNNNNNNNNNNNNNNNNNNNNNNNNNNNNNNNNNNNNNNNNNNNNNNNNNNNNNNNNNNNNNNNNNNNNNNNNNNNNNNNNNNNNNNNNNNNNNNNNNNNNNNNNNNNNNNNNNNNNNNNNNNNNNNNNNNNNNNNNNNNNNNNNNNNNNNNNNNNNNNNNNNNNNNNNNNNNNNNNNNNNNNNNNNNNNNNNNNNNNNNNNNNNNNNNNNNNNNNNNNNNNNNNNNNNNNNNNNNNNNNNNNNNNNNNNNNNNNNNNNNNNNNNNNAUAUAUAUAUAUAUAUAUAUAUAUAUAUAUAUAUAUAUAUAUAUAUAUAUAUAUAUAUAUAUAUGUAUGUAUGUAUGUAUGUAUGUAUGUAUGUAUGAGCACAUCAUAAUUAUAAUGUCAUAAAAAAUUAUAGAAAAUAAAAUAUUUUUUUCUAAUGUAAAACAUAACAUAUAAGCUUUAUGUUGUUGGAAAGUCUCAUCUAAUCUUGUGUUAUUUUGAGAUUUAAAAAUAUUGUAAAAACUAAUGUUCAAUGUACGUUAGAGUUAUAUGAUACUGAAAUGAUUGAUGUUUUACGUGUAGAUUUUAAAUAUAUAGGAUAUAGGCAUUAAAAAUUAGUAAGUGUCCAUAAAAAUUCAGAUCAUCAAAUACGAGACAUCCAAUUAAUUUGUUUUGGAAUUAGAAUUUCCGAUAUCAAAUUUCUAACUUAAUUUAAUCUUAUUAUUGGGUGCCGUGUGAAUUAGAAUCCAAUGUAUUAUUAUUAUUAUUAUUAUUAUUAUUAUUAUUAUUAUUAUUAUUUUCUUGUAUCGAAUCACGAAGCCGACACUUGUAUUAAUUAUUGUGCGUGAAUGAUGAUUACUUAAUGCCACCAACAUCUUCUUUUCACAACGCAAUCAUAUGGCACCAAAAAAAAUAAAUCCACCUCCAACAUUAAUUUAUGAACCAAUUUGAUUCAAUAAUUGUUUUAAGUACUCUAAAUCUACAUCCAUUGUUGGAUGAUUAGCACAUGAUUAUUGAUAGCAAGCCCCACAAACAAUACUUGGAGCUUGUUUAAUGGAUAUAUGAGUUAAGUCUUUUUUAUGUGUUCUUUCCUUAUCACACCAUCAAGAUUUGUACCAUGAGAUUUAUAUGUGACUAAAUAUUAUGUGUUAGCUAUCUUAGAUAGUAAUGAUUUUGAUAGUUUAUCGUAAUAUUCCCUAUUUAUCUUUCAUAAAAAAAAGAAUUAUAUCAUACAUAAUAAUAACAAUAACAAUUCGUAAUGUUUGAACUAUAGUGUAUAAUACCGAACUUGGUUUAGAUGUGAUAGAUCACAUGCAUGGAAUAUUUAAAUGUUGAACAAAUCAUUAGACUUGGAUUAACUUUUAAAUUAAGGAUGGAGAGUUUAGAUCGCUCGAAUCUAAUCGACUUUUAAUGUCGAUACGAUGAGUAUUCAUCCAUGAUUAUUAAAUGAGUGAGAUAUAAAUAUUAACGCAAAUCAGUUAAGGUGAUAGAGGUUAUUCGAAAGAGAUUUAAUAUAAAUCUUUUGGUAAAGAUCGUUCUAGUGGUAAGAAAAAAAAAAGAUUUAAUGUUGGUGAUUUCCUUAGAAAAAAACUCUUAUUUUAGAUUUUUUUCAAAUAAUAUUCUCUUUUGAUUGUUCUCAAAUAGUAAAUUUCAUGUAUUCUUUAUGAAAUUUAAACUAGUCAUUAUUAGCCACAGUAAAAAAAUGAUAUCUUUUCUACUCUAAUUUGCAUUAAAUAUGAGCUUUAAAAUAGAUUCGUAUGCAUUCCAUUGAAUGGAAUUGCUAAAUGUUAUUUAAUAUCGUUUCAUUAUCAGAUUUAUCACUAUCAUCUCCUCCAUCCACUAGAAGUAUUAUAUUUUAAGAAAAGGGCUAAAGUGCUUAUUCCUUUUAAGCAUCAUAGAUUUGAAUUAAGAAUAUCUACUUCAUCAAUAUCGAUAAAAAUUAUUAUAUAAAAUUCAACAAAUCUCAAUCAUAAUUAAUGAAAAAUACUUUUCACGUUAAGAAUCAUUUAAGAUCAUGACUAUGGAAGGGAUCGAUUCAAGAGAUAAAUCUAACGUGAAUAAGUCUCCCAAGAGAUCAACUUCGCUUUCAUUUCCUAUUUUAGUCCUCUUAGUUAUAUAUAGGAUAGACAUGAAAGAUUGAAUCAAACUCUUGUGUUCAUCAUCUUGGUGGCAUCUCCACUUACAUGAUUAUCAAAUUGGUAUCAUGGUCUCUUACUCCAAAUAACAAUAAAUAACUAUUAUAAUAUGUCGGGAGUGCAUGAUGUAUGUGUAUGCAAAUGAUUCGUGAAAUGUCACAUCAAUAUCAUGUCACCUUGGAAUUAUCCGAGUAAUGGAGGCUAAAUGCUGCCUCAAAGACUACAAAACCAAAGACAGUGCCUCCUCAUCUGACUCCAUCGAUCAAGCCACGAUUCCCACUGCAGUGCCUUCCUCAUCCUUCCCAACUACUAACCCUAAUGGCGUUCAUAGUUCUCCCACUAUACCAUCCUCCCCACUCACCAACCACUUCAUCCUAAUAUUCUAUUCCCUAUCUCCCAAAAUAUGAUCUUUCAUAAUAUAUAUAUAUAUAUAUAUAUAUAUAUAUAUAUAUAUGUAAAAAAUAUUUACUAUGGGAGUCAUCAUAUUAAGUUAUUUAUGAGACUCGAUACAUUUAUAAUCUUCUUUCAAUCUUUAUCUCACACAUAACCCCAAAAAAAAUAAAAAUUCCUCCUUAUAUAUACAUAUAUAUAUAUAUAUAAAGAUAAGAACAAAAAGAAAGAUAAGGAGGAUAUUUCUACUAGGAAAUAAACAUAUCAUGAUGUUGAAGGAUUAAAAUGAUCACCGAUUUUAUAGAUUAAAAGCUUUAAUACGAGUCAAAAUAAUGUAAGGGUUCAUAUGACAACAUCAAAUGGCAUGGGAUCCACUUGCCACCAUCUCCGCCUUUUGUUGGUAAAUGAACGCAAUGCCACCGUAACCCUCCAAUUAAGAUUGUCUCUAUAAAUUUAGCCAUAUUUAUUUAUACAUGGAAAGUAAUAUUAAUGAUUUUAAAGAAAAAAUAAUGUCAACUUUCCAUGUUAUUCUCAUUUCCAAACCCUCUUUGCUAUCACUAUCUAAAAAACUAUUUCCUAACAUAUUUCUUUCUUUAAAAAUAAUUUUUGGAUUUUUUUAGUUAAAGUUAAUAUUAGUUAAGUAAAUAUCUAUUUUUAUAAAAAAAAUAACAAAAACACUAAUAAAAAAGAAAAAGGAUUUUUCGCCCUUUUCUUGUGUCGAAUAGAAGACUCGUGAGACUAUUAAUCCCUCAUAAAAUGAUUUUUUUUCUUUCAUUUUUUUCAUUCAUGCUUUGUAUUCUUUUUCUUUGUAUGUCUAUUGUCUAUUACUAAGAACAAGAUAUAAGUAAUGAAUUCUGGACAUCCUGCAAAAUGAAAAAAAAAAAAAAAAAAGCAAAGCAACUAAAAAUGUUUACAGAUUUUUUGAUCAUACAUAAUUGUAUGGAUCAACAAACAUUCGACAUUUUUUACCAACUUGAUGUUAAGGAAUCUCUGUACCUAGAAAUUCAUUUCGUACAAUUUUACCAUCUUGAUGUUGAGGAAUCUUUGCACCUAGAAAUUCAUUUGGUACAAUUGAAUCUUUUCAACUGUUUCUUUUUAAGAACUAAAAACCUUGUGCCAAAAUAGCAGAUGCCAAGAAGAACAAAAUACCUUGGACCCGUAAUAGGUCUUGAAGCACUAUUUCUACAUCUCCCUGACCAAAGCCCCCCACAUUGGGAUUGCUCGUUAAUGGUUGAUCAAGCUUGAUGGAUUCACCCUCUGAAACAAGAAGUUCUGGUCCUAGAGGUAUAAUAUCAACCACUUGAUGUCCAUUCGACGUAACAACUAUGGUUAUUUCAUAUCCCCCUUUUUCUUCACAUACUAUUUUGUUUAGUAUACUUGCUGAUGUAGCAUUAUAGAUUGUAUUAUUACUUUUGCCACCAUCAGGAUAAAUCUGACCCCUUCCUCUGUUCCCACCUACGUAUAUGGGAUACUUUAAGAAGUGAACGUCUUUCUUCGUAGCAGGGUCGGGGGAAAGAAUUGGAAAGAUGAUUUCACUAUAUUUCUGACCAGGAACAGAACCUAUCACAAUAAUAUUUCUUUUAUUGGGACGAUAAAUCUGAAAAGAUAGAUUUCCUAUCUUUUCUUUCAACUCAGGAGAAAUAUGAUCAAGGGGGGCUAAUUCGAAUCCGUCGAGUAAAAUGAGAACAACCGCCACAUUCAAAGUCCCCUUUUUACCAUUAGCAAUAACUUAUUUCAGUUGCUUAUCAUAAGGGAUUCGAACAACUGCUUCAAAUACAGUAUCAGGAAGCACAGCUUGCGGAACUUCAAUAUCCACGGGUUUAUUAGCUAAAUGGCAAUUGGCACAUACAAUUCGUCCCGUUGCUUCUGGGUUUUCAUAACCCUGCUACCCAAAAAUGGGAUAUGCAUUUGAAAUAGAUGCCCGAGUUAUUACAUAUAUCAUGAUCGAUACGAAAAUGGAUCGAGUCAUCUUUUCCUUUACCCAAGAAAAAGUAUUUUUAUUUUGCAUGUCCAAUCAUUGAUCCCCGAAUUUCUACAAUAAAUUAGAUAGGUAGCUAGUAUAGUUCCCUAUACACGAGUCUGUCAUUAUACUAAAAUAAUUAUACUGGAAUAUAGGACGAAUACCUUGAACAGAUAAAAGUAUAAAGAAUUAAGUCAAAUUGAAAAUACUUUCUUUAUACACGAAGAAAGAUUCUGAUUUGAUUGAUAUAAUAAGAUCAAAUGAGUUUUUUAUACAUUUAUUAAAUGAUAAAUUACUAUAGGAGAUACACGAUUUAAAAAAAGGAAGAUCCAAUAUUUCACAAUUGUAUCUAGAAUAACUGGAAAAGUAGAAAUAUAAUUUGAUCGUUAUGAUCCAAUCCAAAAUCGUUGUAGACCGAACCAAUCAUUAGUUCCCAACCAUGGGUCGAGUGAAAUCCGAUCCAUAAAUCAGUAACUAAAAGAAUAGAAAAAGCUUUAGAAAUUCCUGAACCCAAGAAUUAAGAAUGACGAGUUCUUCAUUACUCAGAAUAAAAUAACCACUUAGAAUAGCGAAACAGAUUAUAUUUGUCGAGAAAUGCAAAAUGAUAUGGAGAUCAUAUUCAUUGUGUGCUUUGACUAAUUGUAUUGUUUCCUUGUGUAUUUCUAUAUGAAGUUUUUGUAUAUGCGUUUCCGGGUACUCCUUUAUUAUUUUGUCCAAUAGGAAUAGUUCUUCUAAUUCUAUGAAUCUUUCCAGAACGUUUUUCUCUUGAAUAUGAUUCAAAAAAUUUUCGGAUUGCCUGGUAUUCCACCAAUUAGUAACCCAAGGUUCCAGACAUUUAUUAAAUGAGAAAAAGAUCCAUCAGGGCAAAAAUAAUAGAUGCGAGAAAUGGGAGGGAGGUCGAUGCUUUCUCUUUUUUCUUUUUUUCUAUUUUUUUUUCUGUGAAUUGAAUUGUUAAUGAACCUGCUUCAUUCGUUGACUCUAUCUGAUCUGAUAUUUCUUUGAAGCACGAGUUGUAUAACAAGGUAUUGACCUAUGGGUCUAUUCCUUUCCUAUUAUU
rnacentral:lncRNA from 1 species